UUUUUUUUUUUUUUUUUGACAAUUUAAUAAACAAAGAAACAAGAUUACAUUUCAUUUAGAUGAUGUGAUGCAAAAAUGUCUACAAAAAUAUAUUAAAGACAAUCGAAGUUUUCUAAACCCUAAACUUAUAAUCAUAUUAAAAAACGGAGGUUUCACAAAAAUAUUGUAUUUGAACAAAAAAAAGUUUAAAGUAAUAUCGUGGUUUAUCAGUUGGUGGUAUUCCGAAAAUGGUCAAGUGUUCACAUCCAACCAUUUUUUUCUUUUUAAAAAAAUUAAACAUAUGUUAGGUUUUGAAGAGAAAUUUGGAUCAAUAUUGUUCUUUUUAUAAAAAGAUUAAAGAAAUAGGAUACCUUCCAAAAUGUUUAGAUCUUCCCUCUCAACUGUCUCUUGUAUCAAGGGUUCAAACUACAAACUAUACUCUUCUAUCAAAAACCAAAUUUUUUUAAUAUUCAUUUCUUAGGCACCAUAUUUUUUCUUUCUUUAACUUUCUUAUUUUAAAAUUUGUAACAAUUAAAUUUUUAAUGAAAUUUUCAAUUCUCUUCCAUUUUUUUAAUUAUGAAAAUUUAUAAUAAUUAAAAAUACACGAUUGUUGGUACUCUUGUAGAUUGGAUACAUCUGCCAGUGAUUCAUAGUAUAUAUAUUCGUUAUGUUCUCCACAGCCCCGUACGUGUAUAAAGUUGAUGGAUUGACAUCAAUGUAUGAAGAAGAUAUACUGAUUCUUAAAUCAAAAUACUAUGUUCAUGCCCUUAAUCAUAAUACCCUAAGUUAGAUGUUAACAUCAGUGUCUUCGGCCUAACAUAACCAGUUUGGCUUUAAAUUUGUGUCAUACGAGGCACUUCUUCCAUAUUAUGAUAAACCUCAUCAAGUUCAACAUUUUUCACUCGAGCAUAUCCCCUAUGAACUGAUGGAGGUACAAUAUGUAUAUCUUAUAUAUAAUGUAGAUCUUCCAUACUUAAAUAUAUUGUAUAAUUUAAGGUAAUUAUAUAAUAAUUUCAUUAUGUACCAAAUGAUACAAAGUUGUAGUCAAUCGAAUGAUGACAUGCCUCGUAAUAUUAUUCUACCAGUUGAGUCACAUCUCUAUGAAUUGCUUAAUCGAUACAUCUAUCGCAAUAGAUCUUCUACGAGGUUGCUAUCGUAGUACCAAAUAUGCAAACAUGCUCUCACCAAUUCGUAUUUCUUAAGUCAAUGUCAUGUAGAAGUGGCUCAAUAUUGCAUUUUGAUGAGAUAUGUUGUUUAAAAACCGAACUAUCUGAUCACUCUAUCAAGAUAAUGUCACUCCCAAUAUGAAAACAUAUGAGAGGAUCGAUGGUUUGUCAUAUGUUUUGACCGUUCUUACAAAAAAAUGGACAAAUUGUCCAUUACAUUUUUGUAAGGCUGUCAAAUAAUUGAAACAUCACAUAUUAUAUUGUAAACAAAUACUAACGUAUAAAGAAAUCAAGUUUUAGUAUUUAAGUACCUGAUCAUGCUAAAGAAGGUCAAACAAGUACUUCCGUUAACUAGUACCUGAUCCAAAGUUCUUGUAUCUGGAAUAGGGCGAGUUUUCUGAUCCCAUAUUUGUCUAAUACAUUUCAAAAGAAUUAGAAAAUGGUAAAAAAAAAAAAAAAAAAACCAAUAAUAAGUUUAGGAAAAUGCAAUAUUUAUAUAAAAUCUAGCUAGGCUAUUUCAGUUUCUUUAAUUUAUGACAUCAUAAUUUCCUUUUCAUUUUCUUGUUUUUCAAACUCUAAAUUUAGGCUAGACUGUUUCAAUUUCUUUUAGAAAUAUGUAAUCAAUCUUUUUUUCUCUUCUCUCUUUUAAUUUUGUUUAACAAUCAUGUAAUCAAUACUAAAAUGAGGGACAAAUUGAGAUCUUUUAAAAUCCAAGUGGAGCAAGUGAAUUUAUAGAUGACAAAGAGCUUACUUCAUUCAUUCACGUACUAUCUUAGUAACAAAAAAAAAUGGUUCAAAUUCUCUAUAGUUGUAUUAAAAUAAAUUAUAGUUUAUUUUAGUUAAAUUACUAUUUUAGUCCAUGAAUUUUCAUCUACGAUUUGUCUUGAAAAUACCCAUCAAGGAUCAAAUACUCAAAAUAUAAAUAUCAAUGUAUAGAAGUUCGUAAAAAUUAUUAUAAUUAGUUAAAUGAAAGUUUGGUUUUAACUAAACUAAACUGUAUUUAAGAACUUUAAACAUCAUUUUCUAUAUAGAGUAAGACAACGUUGUAAAAUAUUACGUUUAAAUCUUGAUGUGAGAAUAGAGUUUUAAACAAAUUGUAAAACAACCACAAAAUAAUGUCAAAUGUUAAUUACAAAACAAAGGGGCAUUACAUAUUUACAUAUAAAAUAAUUGUAAAUUGUUUAUUAUAAAAUGAAGUUAUACAAAAAUGAAAAAUGAUAACAUUAGGUUGAAAAAUAAAUUUUUGCCAAUUAAAUUCUCCCACGUCAUUCAGCAAAUAUUGUGAUAAUUAUAUUUUUAUUGGGUUUUGAAUUAAGUUUAAUCAACCCAACCCAAUUCAAGUCUAAUAAGCAAAUGGGCUCAAGCCCAACAAGCAAACGGACCCAAGCCCAAGUCUACCUAAAGCCCAUAAAAUUUCUCUAUAAAUAGAAGACAUUUGUCAUUCAUUUGAAGCAUUCUUGGUUGAAGUAAGAAUUGAAAUUUUGAAGAAUUGAAGAUUCAAACUUGUGCGUGUAAGUUUGUAUCAACCUCGUGUAAGUUUGCAAUAUUAUCUAUCAUUCAUAGAUUUUAAAAAAUAUAAAAUGUGGAUUAAAGGAAAAAAAUGAAAUUACUUGAAAAUGGGAGAAGUAAAUAUAAAAUAUCUUUUAGAAGAAAAUAUAAAGUUAUUCGAUAAUCGUUAAAAAAUAAAUAUUGAAUAAAAGAAGAAGGUAAUCGAUAAACAUAAAAAAAUAAUUAUUUAAUAAAUAAUAUUUAUUAUUUGGAGUAGUUGAGUUGUUUAUUCUAACUUCUCCUAAUCAGUCCUUUGGUUUAUUGAUCCUAUAUCUAAUUUAAUAUUGUAGUCACAUUUACAUAAUCAUAUUUAUCAAAUGCUAAAUUUCAUAAUCAAUCUAGCAUUUACAUAAUCAUAUUUAUCAAAUGCUCAAUUUCAUAAUCAACCUUAAUAUAGAUCAGUAACUUAUUAAGACAUAUUUUUAGAUUAGUUCGGCGAUAAUGACGAAGGAUAGUAAGCCAAAGUUAGUUAAUAAAGGUUAAGUGGGAUUAAGUUAGUUUGAUUAUAAUAAUUUAAUAUAUAUUUUUUACUAUGAUUAAGUUGGAUAAGAUCUAAUAUUGCCGACCUCUAACUUAAAUUUAAUAUCUUUUCGUUUUAAAAUAGAUAACUUGGCUCAAAUACAAUAAUGUUAAUUGAGUUUUAGUUAUCACCACCGUCGUAUCUAAUGUUCUUAAAUUGGGUUGCUUUCGAUAUUAAAAUAAAUAAAUGGAAGAUAACAUUGUUUUUCUUAAUGCAUAUCUUGAUUUAUUUGUUAGAUUUGAUUUAAAUUAAGAAUAAUGUGACCUAUGUAGUUAUUAUUGAUCAAUAUUUAUAUAAAUAAUGACAACAUAUACUCACGUGUAAAUAUGUUAUACAAAUUAUCAAAAUAUAUUAUGAAGAUUCUUUUCACAAAAACGUAAACUCAUCACAAUAAACAAAAGCUCAUACCUAAAUAUAGAUCUGAGUCAAACUAAUUAUACUCACCCUAGUGCUUGAGUAUAAAGAGUAUUGUCUCCCAUGAUAGAACAUAUCACCUUUUUUCUAAGUGGAGCACCUCAUAUAGAAGAUCAACGAACUAAACAUUGUGAAAAUCUACCAAACGUCAAGAUUAUGGAUAUGAAGAGAAAUUUAUUUAUAGAAGACCAAGGAUUAUUGAUGUGGUUUUUCUCUCAACCAAAACAACUUAUUUAUAGACUUAUUCGUGGCCAUUCGAAAAUUCAUGUCUUUUAGUUAUUAACACUUUUCAUGAAAUGAUACAUCCACCAUGAUGCAUCCAUUCAUGAAGAAUCACAAAUAAUAACCAUUUAUGCUAACAAUCCCCUCAUAAAUGGUAAAUUGACAAAUGGAAGAAAAUAAGCUUUCGAAAAUUUUCAAUGGAGAACCUGCAUGAGGAUAAUUAGUAUAGACUUUAAACUUUCCCUAGAGAACAUCAACUAAGUUUACUUGGUUAAUCAGUGGACAUGAUGCUUUGAACUGUCAACUGUUCUAGAGUAAACUAAAACAAUAAAUAUUACACAGUUUCUUGUUAUAACAAAGUUUGUUUUCAUGCUUGUGUUCAUUUUGGCCUUGAACACCGCCUGGUAUCAUGAGUGUUUUAGAGAAUUUUGCCUUAAAAUUCUCACAGAAGCGACUCUUUCACAUUCACAUAGGUGAUUUCUGUACAGAACAUCGUAUAUGUUCUUUUUAUUAAUAAAUAUCACGUGCAGAAAUCAUUAAAAGCAUAAAAGCUUACCCUAAAACCGUAAUAACACUACCUCAUCAUUCGUAGAAUGGAUUAAAUCUUGUAGUGCUUGUUGUGUUAUUUAGAGGUCGAUUUUCCCUUUGAACCUAGAUCUUGGGAUCUCCAGUCAACUAGAUUGGGUUGCCUCUCUACAUAACUUCAUAUUAUAGGCUUUAAUCUCAUUCUAUUUUUAUAAAUUUUCAAUCAAAUUCCUAGUUAGGCCUUUAGUAAGUGGAUCUAAUAUAUUAUCCUUUGACCUCACAAAGUCAAUUGUGAUAAUUCCACUAGAGAGUAGUUACCUGAUUGUAUUAUGUCUUCGUCGUAUAUGACGAGACUUACCAUUAUACAUACAAUUCUAUGCCCUUCCAAUAGUUGUUUGGCUAUCAUUAUGUAUAUAUAUUGCAGAGACACUGGUUUAGACCAGUUGGCCGAAAUAUCUUCCAAAACAUUUUGAAGUCAUUCUGCUUCUUCUCCAACCUUGUCUAAAUCUUUAAAUUCAGAUUUCAUUAUGGAUCGUGCUAUACAUGUUUGUUUAGAAGAUUUCCAAGAUACAGCACCACCUCCAAGGGUAAAAAUGUAACCACUUGUGGAUUUGGAGAUUUUAGUGCUCGAUAUCCAAUUGACAUCACUAUAACCUUUAAGUACAACAGGAUAUCAAGUAUAGUGUAAUCCAUAAUUUUUAGUAUGCUUAAAGUAUCCCAAAAUUCUCAAGAUAGCUUUCCAAUGAUCUUGACCUGGAUUACUUGUAUAGCGACUUAACUUGCUUACAGCAUACGCUAUAUCAGGACGUGUACAACUCAUGAUAUACAUCAAACUACUAAUGAUGCGAGAGUAUUCUAAUUGUGUUAUACUAUCUCCAUUAUUUUUACCUAAAUGGAUACUAGCAUAAAUUGGGGUCUUUGUAAUCACAAUAUCAUGAUUUGUAUAUUUCUUCAAUAUUUUAUCAACAUAAUGUGAUUGAGACAACACUAACUCUUGUGGGGUUUUAGAAAUUUUAAUACCUAGAAUAACAUUUGCGACACUCAUGUCUUUCAUCUCAAAUUUAUUGGUUAAUAUUUGUUUGGUUGCCUUAAUAAUGUUAAUAUUGCUACCUAUAAUUAGCAUAUCAUCAACAUAUAAGCACACAAUGACAUGGUCAUUCUCAUUGCUUUUGGCAUAUGCACAUUUGUCACAUUCAUUGAUUUUAAACUCAUUGGCCAUCAUUACACUAUCAAAUUUUUCAUGUCAUUGUUUUGGUACUUGUUUUGGUCCAUAAAGAGACCCAAUUAAUUUGCAAACUUUCUUUUCUUAACCGGGAGAAACAAACCCUUCAGGUUUUUGCAUGUAGAUCUUUUCAUCUAACUCACAGUUUAAAAAUAUCGUCUUGACAUCCAUCUGAUGUAUCUCAAAUUCAUGCAAAGUUGAUAUUACUAUAAGCAUGCAAAUGGAAGUAAUUUGAGUAACUGGUGAGUAUGUAUCAAAAUAGUCAAGUCCUUCUUGUUGCUUGUAACAUUUGGCGACAAGCCUUACCUUAUAUUUAUCUAUUGACCCAUCGGUCUUCAUUUUUCAUUUGAAAAUUCAUUUGCAACCAAGUGGUUUACUUCCUAAUGGAAGAUCAACUAGUUCCCAAGUAUGGUUAUGCAUAAUAAACUCAUGGAAAGUGCAUUAUUCAGUCAGGCGGGGAAGAUCUAAAAUCCAUAUAACCAGAACAUUACAUUAGGGUUGGUGACCUUUUAUCGCCCAAUUGGCAGACAGCCACUCAGGUCUCUAAAGACUUGAGCUACUUCAUUCCCUCUAACAGUCCUUCGAUCGCCUGAUUUUGGAUUCUAUCGAGAGAGCCAAUAUCGCUAUAUCACUUCCGACCGACCGUCAAGCUUCACUGGAAUAAAUCAGUCAUCUGGACCUUUGUUUUUUAGUCUGAAAACCUAUUCACAACCUUUUUCUAAUAUGAAGCUUUAGGAGAGGACAUGACCUCUUUAAAUGUUUGAGGUUCGUUUUCUAACAUGGUCUCUUUAAAUGUUUGAGGUUCAUUUUCUAACAAGUAAGUUAAAAAAUCAUGCGGAGCACGUGAUGUUCUUGAAGUUAAAUGAGUUUUAAUCUUCGAGGGCGGUCGACUUCAGGAGUUAGGAAGUCUUCUAGCUAUUGGAAGAAUUCUCUCUAUAUCUUCUGGAGUAAAAAAUUUUCCACCAUUUCAAAUGAGAACUCCUCUAUUUAUAGAGUUCUCUAGUGGGCUUUAUAGGUUUGAGCCUAGUUGGUCCAUGGACCAGAUCUAUGGACUCAACCACAUGAAUUUAGGUCAUAUUUAGGGUUUUGACUCAAUUAAGCUUAUUUUUUUUGGCUCAAUGGAACUUAGUGCAAGUAAAUAAUAUUUAAUUGAACCUAAUUAACUUGAUCCAACGAUUAUGGUGAAAACAUGUGGUAUUAUCGAAAUUGGCCAAAUUUAUGUUUACAAUUUUAAUUUAGGACACAUGUCAAUUUUUUAAUUAAUUCCAAAUUCAAUUAUUUGUACGUUUUAUCGUUAAUUUAGUAAAUGAUGUGGCAAUUUGUGAUUUGUCUCAAAAUUUUCUAUUCAACAACAAGUUCACUCAAAAACGAUGAUAUACAUAAUAUUAACAAGUACACUAAAAUAACAACAUAUACCUGCAACACAUUUUAAAAUGUUCAUUCUCUCAUCCAAAACUAAAAGAAGAAAAAAAUAAAAGACCAAAUCUUAGGAUCAUUUGAUUGUUAUUAUCAUAUUUGAGUCUCUACAAAGUUUUUGUAAAAUAUAACCCUCCCAAAUAUUGCAAAGAAUUUUAACGAAAAAAGUUCUUUGUUUAUCUUCAAUUCAUACUUUUCCUCCCAUUCUCUUCUCUAAUCAAUUUGUGUCCCUCUUAUUUGCAUUUUAUUGAUUAUUGUGCUUCAAUAAUUAUUAUGUUGUUUUUUUUUUAUUGUAUUUCUUAUCAUUGUAAUUAAGCGUGGCAUUUUAUGAUUUUUCGUUAUUUAGUGAACUACAUUUAUUAUCUUUAAGUUAAAUUCACAUGUAUGAUAUAUAUAUUUUUAAAGAAAAAAGCGUAUAUAUCUUUCAAACAUAUCAAUAUCCUACAUUUUUAAAAAUUGAUGUAUCUUCCUAUCCUAUCACAUUUGUAUACCGUAUCUAAAUCUGUGCGUUUCAUAGAUCAAAUGGAACUUAGACCUAUGUUAUAAAAGAAGUUUAUCAUUUCUCUCAACUUCAAGCAAAAAGCUUAGACAUAGUUUUUUUUGGACAAAUUUCAAAAACCAUUACACAGUAGCAGUUACAAUUAUAUACCUUAAACUUUUAGAAUUAAUAAUCAAGCCUUCAUACUUAUCCAAAUAAAAAAAUAAAAGUCCUCAUUUCACGAUUUUAUAGUAUAGUACAAAUACUACAAGUUUAGUAGUGUAAUUGCAAACUCUUAACAAUUUCAAACUUUUAUAAUAGCUAGUGUGAUAGUUUAAUAGCAAAUUAAAAGCUCACAUUGACAGCGCUCAACAAUUAAUUGAAGAACGACAAACAAAAUCGAAGUUGCAUGUCCAACAAAUAGAAGAAAUUAAGAAGAUGAUUGAGAAAAUGAGUUGGGCACAUAGAGAACCAUCAAAUUGUUUAAUUUGUUAUCGAUAAUAAUUAUCUAAAUUUAUUUUUAUGUCAGAGAGCCCGUAGAAAUAUAUAUGGCGUCCAUGGCGAUUAAAAGAUAAUGCAUAUUUUUAAUUUUUUAAAUUAAUUUUUUAAUCUAGAAUUUGUAAUUGUUUAAUAUUUGGAUUUAAUUUCUAAUGUAAAUAGGAUUUGGUAUUUUAAUAAUUUUGUAUUAAUUUUCAAUAAGAUGUUUUUCAGAAUUUGAUUUAACUUAAAUUGAAAAGGAUUCCAAAAGAGUACCUUACAACAAAAUAAUAAUAAUAAAUUUAAAAAUAUCUUGUAACGCACAAAAUGCAUCGGGAAUGAGGUCCUUGUUCUAACCCAACGUCGGGCUUUGGAAAUUUCAAUAUUACCGAUUAGGGAGGUGAUGUCGAAAGUGUUCUAUAUACCAAUGCUGUCAUGCGGUGAAAGAGCCCCUAAUUUUUAUAGUGGUACAACAGUUUUUGUAAUUUGUCAUAAGAAUUGGAUUAAGAAUUCAAUAAUGGAUUGCACAUGCCUAUAAGUUUUAUAUUUUAUCAUAUUAUGUAUUAUAUUAAUUUUGAUGUAAACAACAUUGAGUAAAAAAUAUAAAUAGUUACCUACCUUCCUCAAUGCACAUCAUCUAAAGACUAAACAAUCUCAUUAAUAGAUUCAUAUGAAGUUUGAACGAUAAAUAACAACAAUAAUAAUAAAUAAAUAAAUAAUGCUUUAAAAAUAAAAAGCAAAAAGAAAAAAGUAAACAUAAAAAAAAAAAAGAAAUUAAUUUAGUGGAAAUAGUGGUUUAGAACGUGAUAUGAUAACCUUAAGAUUCAUAGCUUUUUCCUCCAUUGCUAUUGAUGGCCACAGCCUUUUCCAAACCCAUUUUCCAAUAUUUUAGGCUAAACCAUUUGUUAUUUUCCCUUUUCUAAAAUAAUAUUUAAUAUCAACCAUACCAACACACAUAAAAAGUUUGUUUUGUUUUGUUUAAGUGAACAGUGUCAUGGUGUGUAUCCAAUUGAUGUAUUUCACUGUCAUCACAUGUACGUAAAAAUUAAAUAAUAUAUAAAAAAAACAUUCGGUGACUCGUUAUCACAUAACCAUCUUUAUGUAGGUCGUCAAUAAAAACAAAUCACAAGUUGUCAUAUAGAAAGUUUUUAAGAAAUUUUAGUGCAAUAUCAAUUUAUACUCCUGAACUUUGAAGCUUGUAUCAAUCUAAACCAUAAAACUAGUAAUUGUGUCGAUUUAAAGAUUUAUUAAAGCAAGACCGAAAAUUUCAGCAUGAUUUUUUGUAAUGUAAAUAUGUGAAUUUAAAAAUUGCAUAAAAAAGAAAAAAAUAACUUUUUCUUAAAAUAUUGUUGAGAGAAUGAAAGUUUGGUCAUUGAUUUUGUUGCAUUUUUUUCUAAACAUUUAUUAGAUAACAAAUGAGGACACCAGCGAAUAAGUUAGAUUUUUAUAUAGUUUUUUUUAAAUGAAAAAUUAUAUUUCUUUUAGAAAAACAAAUUAUAUAUUUUUUUAAAAUAAUCAUCAAAAUUUAAGAAGAAAAAUCAAAUUUUCUUCUUUAUGAUAUUUGGAGGUGAUUUUGAAAUUGGACCAAAACCCUUACCCAAAAUCAGAAUUAAGUAAAAUUAAGUAAAAAUAAAGUAUUAAAUAAUAUAUAUUGUAAUUUGAUGGUUCAAAUUUACUAUUAAAUUACAAAACUCCAUAAUAUGAGAGAGACAUAUCUCGGGCUGCUUAAUAAAUCCAUUCCUAUUGAGAUCCCUUGAGUGUAUUGAAAAAGGAAAAUGAAUGGGUCAACUGCUAUAUGUUUAUUGGUUUAGCAGGCAGCCGGCCGCUGCCAUUUUUAUUAAAAUUAGUUUGACGAAUUGACUUUAAUAAUUUAUUGCAUCUCACAACCAUACCCAUACUUCAGAUAAUGUAAAAAUAACAGAAUCAUCCUUAUAUUCUAUGCUUCUUUUUUACAACUUUUAAAUAUUUUAGACUGGGCGGUUUUCACCCCCGCAGAAUAAAGUGGACACCCCACCGAUUAUAUAUACACACAUACACACACUACAAUAGAAUAAUCUUUGGUGCAUAAAUCAAUCCUAUAUAUCUGUCUGCUGUAAAACAUAAUUAUUGAAAAUCAAUGAAAAUAUUACACAGAAGGACACAAUUCAUGGGUUUUUUUUCUUAAUGGAUGGCUCCUUUUCCAGGACUAAUCCAAAGUUGGCCUUCUCAUGACAAUGUUAAUAAGAAUAAAGAAGAUGGAAAAGGGUAGGCGAGAAAGGGAAAAGGAAGGGAUAAUGUGGGUGGGAUUAUACAUAUAUGGGUUAUAGUUAGAUAUACAAAUCUGGAACCCCCUCCUCCCAAUAAUCUCUUAAUAUGUCAUAACUGAGGCGAUUCGUGUAAUUAUAACCCAAUAAUUCCACUUUCCAAAUUACAACAAUUUAAUAUUAACACAACCCAUUAAUUAUUUCUUUCUUAAUUAACUUUCUAGUGCUCUUUAUCUUAUCACCUCCCAACUUCAUAUUUUUUCUAUGCAUUACAAUUCCCUUUGGCUUGUCUUCUUCCUUCUCCUUUUCUUUUCCUUCUCUUUCUCCGCUCAUUGGAUUCUUUCUCUUACCACACCCUUUUAAAUCAAACUAAACUACAUACCAACCAUUAUAUAAUGCUUUACACUUAUUAUUCUUAACAUUAUUUAAAUUAAAUACUAUUAGUUUAUUUCUUCAAUUCCUUCCCUUUUUCAUUUUUAAGGUACCAAAAUAUUACUUUUUAAAACUUCAUACUCCAAGAUGAAUCAAUAUUGAGAGUGAACCAAAUGAAAGAAUAUAUAUUUUGAAGUAUAUAGGCACUCAAAUUAACAAAAUUGGAAUUAUAUAGGGAUGAAAAUGAACAUGAAAGACGAAAAUUUAAAAGUGCGAACACCAAGAUAUAGUAUUUAAAUAGUAAACACUGAUAACUAGUAACAAGCUUGCCAUGCUACAUCCUACAAAAUAUUGUCACCUAACAAUAUGAUCUUUAAAAGUUUACUUUAUUUUUCAUGUGUAUGAUAAAAGAAGAGGGGAAUAUGUGAUUAAGUGCAUUUUAGGCUACACUUUGUUUGUUACUAUGGUAUCGAAAUCAAAGCUUGGAAUUCCUAUAUCAUGUUGAACCAUUAGCUUCGACUGAUGGGGAUCAAAAUCGAAGCUGGAUCACCUUCUUAGCUCGUUCCUUGGAGAUCAUUUGAUAUGAUGUCGUCCAUUCUCUUGGCCCAAACAAGAAACAGCUAUAAAUGAAUCCAAAUGCUUCUCUGAAUCUUGAUGCUUUGGCAAUGACUGCACAUUGGCAUUUUCGGUAUUUCUUGAAUCAAAUGAAUCUAGAAAUGGAAAUGACCAAUUUUCAAAUGAAGUGUGUUUUGGGGCCAGGGGCUGUUCUUUCUUCAACUGACCGAAAAACACCCCUGAAUCAGAUCGUUGCUAAUGAUGGUACGGGUCGGGGCCGCCUGGGCUGAGUCGGGUUGGUUUAUAACCAAAUUUCUUCGCGUAUUCAUUCCCCAGUCGUGAUAUUUCAUUGGCGAUUCGAGAUCGGUUUAUUUUAAUCUGGUUUGAACUCGGCUUGACCCAAAUUUCGAAGAGUCUGGUGAUUCUGUUGAGGGAGAAUAUCGUUGGGAUUAGUAACUUUGUAUGAUAUUGGGACUUUUUUGGAGCAACGAAAUUACGAGCUUCCACUGUUGAAGAUGAAAAGAGUAGGAGCAAAAUCAUAAAACAGAAACUAAAACUGGCCAUGUGAUUUUUUCUUUGUUCAAACUUAGAUUGAAAAUGGAAAUGCAAUAUGAAAAAGGAGAGUUCUGGGAAGAGGUAACGAAUUCAAGGCUUUGCUUCUCCCUAUAUAGUGUUGGGCAUAUGGAGAGAGAAAUAUAUUGUUUUUUUUUUUUUUGCUUUUCCUAAAAUUUAUAGAUAUUAUUAUAGAAUAGAAUUCAAACUAAUUAUUUUAAAUAUUCUUGUCCUUUGAAAAGAUAUAGUUAAUAUAAAUCUUGUUUACAGAUUCUCGUCAAAACGUUGAAGAAGAAUAAAAUAUAUUUGUUGAUGUAUAGAGAUGAUCUUGUCCAGGUUGCUUGUCUUCAGGUGGAGUUCUUUCAAUCGUGGAACUACAACAAAACUCAUACUAACUGGUGCAAAAUGGAUACACAACUCCAAUUAAAGUUAAUGCACACUUUUGGUUCAACUAAUCAUUUAAUGAUAUAGUUUUCAACUAUUUAUAGAUUUAUAUCAUUUUACGUGCGUGUAACAUGGACAAUGUUAAAUAUAGAUGUAGUUUUAAAACAUUACAUGAUUUGAUUUUAUAAGCAGACCCAACUCAGAUUUAUUUUUUUUCUUUCUACUUUGCUUUUGCUUUUGCUGUUGUUUUUUCUUCUUUUUGCAACUUGGUACGUAGUUGAUGGUUCGAGGAUUUUUAAUUUCAUUUAAAUAUUUAAACUGUAAUCAUGUAUUGACUUAAUCAUAAAUUAAUAAUUGGUAUGAAUUUGAUAAAGAGUUAUGGCGGUUUCAAUCGUCACUUACGUAAAAUUUAAGAUAUCUUAUGAAUUUUUAUGAUACCCAAAUGUUAGAAGGUAACACAAAAUAAUUAUUCCAUGAAAGAUUAGACAAGGUACACGUAAAUAAGUGCUCCAAAUACUUACGAAUGUCAACAAAUAUUUUAAUAUUUAUUAUCAUGCAAUGGGAGGGUCUAUGUUACUACAUUUUCUAAAUUCUAAAAGUAGCAAAUUUAAAAGAUGAUAACACUUUUAUAACCGUUUGAUAUUACUAAUUUUAUCAUGUUCGCAAUAUGCAAAAAAAUAGGUGUUACGUGCUAUUUUUUUUUUUCAAUGGUGCAUUUGGGAGAGGGAAAAAGUUAGGGAAAAAAAUGAUUAUGAUAAUCAUAUGUUAUGAUAAUAUGUGUUGGGGGAAAAGUUUAUUAUUGGUAGCUAGUGUUAUGAUAAUAUUUGUUUGGGGAAAAGAUUAUGUGGGAAAGAUUACGUGGGAAUGAUUAUGAAAAUUAUUAUUUAUUAUUAAUUUUUAAAAUUCAUAUUCUAAAUCCAAUACAAAAAUAUUCAUAUAUUUAAUUUAUCAAAGCCUAGUAUUUUCGUAAAACAAAUUCUAUUAGUUUUCUUAAAUAUGAUGUCUAUUUUCAACCUUUUGUACUAAUUAAUUAUUUUUUAAAAAAAAAAAUCGUAUUCUAACUCCAUACUCCAAUUAUAUAUAUUCAGUUUACAAACCAUCACUGUUUUCGUAAAACAAUUUUCAGUAAUUUCUUCAAAUACGACGUUCAUUUUCAAUCUUUUUUAAUAUUCGUUACGUGUGAAUAAAUUAUAUUUUUGUUUUUUAAUUGAUAUUUUAAAUGUAAUACACAAAUUGGUUCAACUAAUCAUUUAUUCAUCCUUAACUUAAUAAAUGAUGUGGCAAUUUGUGAUUGGUCUCAAAAUUUCUUAUUAAAUCGUCUAUUUUCAAUCUUUUUUACAUAAUCGUUAUGCACGAGUAAAUUAUUAAUUUUAUAUAUUUAAUUUACCAAAUCGUUCUAGUUUUUGUGAUACUGGAUAAAACAAAAAAAAAAACAAGUCAAGCGGCCUAAUCAUAAUAAAUUACCUAAUUCAAGACUAAAAAGAAAAAAUGAAAACUUUAACUUCACCUAGUUGUACCAAAUUCUUAAGUUUAAAAACAAGUUAUGUUUUUUAAAUAAAAAGAUUAAAAUCAACAAAACUCUUACGGUAAAAAUUAUAUAAAUUAUAAAUGAGAAAAAAAUAGAAUAAAUAAUAUUUAAAUUUAAAUGAGUUAAUUAUAAAUAAUAAAGGGUUAAAAUAGGAUUGAAGUGGUUGAGGAAGGGUUAUGAUAACUCUUCCCCUUAAUCUUUUCCAUGCCCAUACACUCCGAGGUGUGAGAAUUUAGGAAAAUUAGGGAAGGGUUUUAGCCUAAACUUUCUUUGGACCAAGGGUUUGCAAAAUUGGAGAAUAGGGUUAAAUAACUCUACAAAUUUUUCUACUUCAUCUUAUCAUAAUACUACACUCAUAACUGGAUCCAAACGCAUAUUAUCAUAAUACUACAACAAUAAUAAUUCUUUCCCCAAACACAUAUUACCAUAACAUUAUAAUUCAUAUUCUUUCCCCCAAACACAUAUUACCAACCCAACCCCAAACACAUAUUAUCAUAACACUAAGAUUAUAGAUUAUUAUAAUAAUCCUAGGAUUAUUCAUAAUCUUUUUUCUCAUAACUCUUUUCAUCCUCCGAACGUUUGUCAUAUGAUAUAAUUUCUCAUUAAUUUUUAGGAUGCAACGUUGAAAUUAAAAAAAUUUAGUAAUAAAGUUAAAAGGAGACCAGAGUAUAGUUUAAAAUGACACCCAAAGUAGUGUUUCAAAUUCCACUAAAUCCAACAAUUGUACUACAUAAAUGGAGUUGAAAUAAAUGUUUUAAGGUUGUAAAUAUAACACCCAAAAUUUGGUCCUUUCAUUAGAAAGGAAAAAUCCUCUUCAAAGAAAUUUGACCUCCUAGUACAAGAAGCUAUAAGGUUUUUUCACAAAUUAAAAAAUCUAACUAAUUAAAAUUGUUACUUUUCUUUAAUAUAUAGUAAAAAGGCCCGCUAUAUAACAACUUUUUCAAAAAGAUUUUAAAAUUAAUAUAUAUCCUCCUUAUCAAAAAGAUUAAAAAAAAAAAGUUCAACAUUAAAACUAAACUAUAUAUUUAAGUCAUAACUGGAAGUACAUCAUACUCUGGAUGCAUAGCUUAGAAGAAAUAAGUUUCUGCAGUGCUGUCUCGAGAAAGAGCCAACACUAACUAAUAGAGAAACCCUGUUCGUAAAUGCUGUAUAGGAUUUAUAGUUAUGUAUAGGAUUUCAGCAACUAAAUCCUAUACAUAACCUUAUCGAAUUACAAUGUAAGCAUUAAGCAAUCGAACAAUAUGGAACACCAUUUUUUAACACAGAAAUUGACCUGCUAGCUAAAUGCUGUAAUUAGCUACAGCUAAAAGUGAAGAAUUACAGUUUUAUGGCUCAAGAUGCAUUAAUAGUUGCUCAAUCUUAGCAUAAUAUUUUUCUCCUCCCUACAAAAUGACAACAGGCAUACAAAAAAUACCUUCACUGCUGCGCAUAUGAAGUUUUGCUGCUAUUAGCAGAAGCACUCCAGAAUCUGGGUGGCCGCUCCAGAAAGGCAGGUGGCCGCUCGAACACUAAGGAAGCUGCCUUGAUCAAGAUACCAGCAGUCAGAGCCCAGAUCACAUACUUUUCGUUCUCACAUUCGUAGUCAAAAAAGUGUAGUAGAUAAUUAUAUCCCAUCCAUUCCUUCUCCUCUGCUCUUCUUUUCUCAUCCUGUGGCAACUUCGAAGUGUGAGACUAAUACAGAAUGAAACAACAAUCACAACCAUUCUGUGUAAUUUAAUUUAAUCAGAGUUAACAUCAAAAAAUAUGACGAACCUUAAGGAACAUUUCCAAGGGAACAUCAAAUACUGCAUCUACUUCAGCAGCAUUUGGAGUUGGAUUGAAUGCUUCCUUGCUAGAUAAUAGGCCAAGGACAGGAACUACAGUCAUACCCUUCUGCACAGAGAAUACACAUCAUAUGUGAAAUGGUGGGAAAUUCAUAAAUUACACGAGACAACAACCACCAAAAAGGGUUCCAAUUAGCAGCAAAAUGCAAAAUAUGGUUUAAAAGCAAUUCCUGGUUAAUCUAAUAAGCCAAGUUCAAAAGUUCCCCGGACAAUGUUAAAUGAAUACUGGAUGGGAAUGUGAAUCUAUCGAUAAACUGGAGAGAGGAAAGUUUUUUGUAGGGUCUAUUUGAUAACCAUUUAAAUCUGGUAGGGUAACCAUUUCAUUUUUGGUUUUUAGUUUUUCAAAGAAGCAUAUUUUCUCUUUGCAUCUUUCGUAAGUACAAAAGUUGAAUUCUUAGUCAAAUUCCAAAAGUAUGAAAGUUGAAUUUUGAGUCAAAUUCCAAAAGUACAAAAGUUGAAUUAUUAGUCAAAUUCCAACGGCAAUAAUGAAUUUGACUUGAUGUUUUGAAUAAUUGGUAAAAAUGAGAUAACAAACCCAAAAACUUGGAAGUGAAAGAGGUGUUUACAGGUUUAAUUCCAAAAACUAAAACAACCAAAUGGUAACCAAAUGUGGCCUUAGCUUUUGAAAAGUAAUUUUAUGAACACCAAUAUAAUUACACCUAUGAGUUCCCUUGUUUUGUUAUCUAAGUGUUAGCCUAGUUUUGAUGUAUUAACAAAGAAGUUCUGACGACAACAAGCUUUUAUAUAUCCUUGUUCACCAAGACAAAGUACAGAUUGUACAGUGAAUAAGCUACAUGGACAAACAGAAUCUAAACUCAAUAUUGAAAACAAAAAGACAUGUAAACCUUAUUAACAAAUGGUUGAAGAACAGUGAUGAUGUUAACAAGAGAAGGGGUUAAUCCAAUUUCCUCUUCUGCCUCCCUCAAUGCCGUCGCAACAUCAUCGGCGUCACUCACAUCCCUUUUUCCGCCGGGGAGUGCAACGUCCCCUGCACCCUGAAUGUCAAUUAUGGAAUCGUCGUGCUAAUCUAUUGCCCCCUUCAAAACGAAUUUCAAAUUCACAAACAUGAAUAUUAGGGUUUGGGAUUGAGACUUACCAGAGUGGGAAGAAAGCGUAGAGGCUCGCUUUGUGAGAAUGACGCGGAGCUCGCCAAUGUCGGUUAGGAAGAGGCAGAUGAGAACAGCAGCACGGUUGGUGAGUUGAGCUGCUGCCGGAGUUGGUGGCAGCGAGGGCAGAGAUUGAGAAGAAUUGCUUGUGCGGAAAUGUUCUGCUAAAGCCUUCAAUCUGUGGAGAAUGUGUUCUCCAGAGGGUUUGGAGGCCAUGGACAUGGAGCCUGGAGGAGGAUGAGGGGCUGCUUCUUUGUGUCUUGCUAUUUCUUCAUCUUUGAGAUGUAUUUGGUAGGAAAUACUAUAUUACAAUUUUAUAAGCAAUGAAGAUUGAUGUCACGUAAUCAUGUACCUCAAUUCUAUUGAAACACACAAGUGAAUUGAUAAAUGUAGGUUAGCAAUAAAAGCAGUGGGUUCCAUUUGGAGAGGAGAGGUCUAUAGUUUUGUAUUCUGAUAUGGGGUUAUUAUUGUCUAUGUUUGCAUGCACAUUAUUUUUUGGUGGACAUUAUUAUUAUUUGUAUACAAGUAGGAGUUUGAAGAUUAAUUAAUUUAAAAUAUAACCCUAUUAUCAUAAAUUAACUAUAAAAUUAGUACAAAUCUUAAACAAUAUGGACUCAAAUUAAUUGACCCCUUUUUUAAGUUCUAAAAAUUAAACAAUUACAAGAUUAUUAGUUAAAGAAAAAUGGAAUGACAAAAACAUUUAGAAAAGAAACCGUCUCUAAUAUUAAUUUUUUUUUGCAUAUUUACAUAUUGCGAAUAUGACAAAUAUGACAGGUAAUUAAUGAUAUCAAACGAAUAUUAAAAAGUUAUUAGAAAGCUAUUAAAUGAUUAUUCACUUUUAAAUUUGCUCCUUUUACAAUUUAAAAAAUUGACGAUUCAUUUUUCAUAUUUAUUUAUGUUUAUUUUAUUUUUAUAAAAGAUUUGAAUUUGAAUUUUAAAUUUAUUAAAAAAAAUAAAAACAACGACAAAUUUAAAUAAAUAAAUAAGCUUUUUUUCUCCAUGUAUUUUAUCAAUCAUUCCACUAUUUUUGGCUUUUUUCAUUCGUCACCACUCUCCCACUAUUUUUGUUUUUCCCUUUUACACUUAUCUAAAAAUAAAACAUCAACUUUGCCCUAUAAAAAAAGAAAUGAGAGAUUUUUUCACGAUAAUAGUACACUUUUUACCAUAAUUUGCCUUUUCAUAUGUUUGUCAUUUGGGUGGAUGUGAGAAGAUUGAAAAACAAACAUUUUCUCCAAAUCAAGUGUGGUUUCAAUUUUAUUGGAUUUAAGCAUGACGGGUUUGCUAUGUAAGCUUUUUGUUUUAUUUAGGCCAAUUUAAUUAUUGCUGCUUGAAAUUUAGUGUGUUUUUAAAUUCAUGGUUCACCGUAUUGAAUUAUUUGGCAUCCAUUUGACACGCUGCUUUAUUUUAUUUAAAUAUGAUGAUGCUUUAUUUUAUUUGGCCUCCUACAAAUAAUACUUUAUUUUAUUUAUUUGACAUGUUCAUCAUCUUCGCAUCUUACCUUGGCAACUUACCUGCUUUAUUUAUUUGGUAUCACACAUUAUUUAUUUGGCAUGUUAUUAUUAUUUUUUUGCUUAUUACAUGGUGCUUUGUUUUUGCAUAAUGCUUUAGCAAGCUACCUUAUUUAUUUUGUAUCAUGGAUUAAUACUUGGCAUGUUAUUAUUUUGCAUCAUGUUUUACCAUGCUCCCUUAUUUAUUUGGCAUGUUGGAUUAGCAUACUAUAGCCAUUAUUUAUUUGGCAUAGCAUGAGUUAUUUAUUAUUUAACAUCAUUUAUUAUUUAUUUGCAUUUAGCUCUAUUUUGCAUCCUACUUUAUUUUGUUUUUAUUUUCUUAUAAUAUAUCUGUAUUUAUUUUAUCUUUAUAUUUAUUUUAGGCCACUAUAUUAUUUUAUCUCAAUCUCACUAUAUUAGUUUAUCUCACCCUAUUACUUUAUUUAUUUCACAACUUAUAUAAUUAUUUUACAGCCGGUUUAUUUUUCAAAUUUUACACUAUUUUGUCAUUACUAUUAUUUAUUUUCCAAUUUGAAUAUAAAAAUUCAAAUUGGAGAAAUUUUUUUUAUGAGUUUUAUAAUUUAAAUUCCACAAAUACAUAAAAUAAUUUCAUUUGAAUUUAAUUAAUAAAUUGACUUUAAAUUUAUAAACAAUUUCAUAUUUUAAAUAAGACUUAAUAGUGUUUUUUUAUGAAUUUAUUAAUUUUUAGAUAGAUAAAAUAUCUAUUAAACACCGAUUAAAAUAUCAAAGUUGGUAUUUGAAUAUUUUUUAGGUGAAUAAAUAAAAAAAUAUCUUUUGAAACAAAAAUGUAAACUUCAUUUUUCGAAUGACUCUUAUGUCUCAUAAUUAUUCAUUCAUGCUUAGGUUUUAUUUUCAUUUUAGGGGUGUUGUAGGGUGUUAACACCUUUCUACACACAACUAACUUCUGAACUUAAAUCUCAUUCAUUUAAGUAGACCAUUUUUUUUAAAAAAAAUUUUGGGUGACCAAUCACACAUUAAUUGGUUCUAUGUUAAAAUGGGCUAGAAUUUUUUCGACGUAAUUGAAAACGUCAGGGAAAUGGAGGUUUUGCAAAGUUAGUAGUACACACGUGGCAGAAAUGUUCAACUUUCCACGACGUUAACCACUCACGCACCGCGGAAAGUGAAAAUAUUGAUUUAUUAUUUUCCCUUUCCGCAACAUCAACGUACCACACGUUGCAAAAAGUGAAAAUAAUAAAUUCAAUGUUUCCACUUUCUGCGGCUUCACCAUUUCACACGUCGCAGAAAGUUAUCCCAUUAAAUUUAAUGAGUCAACUUUCCACAACGUGUGGCAUGGUGAUCACGUCGUGGAAAGUUGAAACAUUGAAUUUAUUGUUUUCACUUUUAACGACAUCGCCUGUCAUUUGUCGCGAAAAAUUAAAAUGUGUCGUUUCAUAUUCAAUUUUCUGGAACGUGUGGCAGGAGAUGUAGCGGAAAGGUGAAACUUGUUGUUUCCUAUACGACUUUCCGCGACGUUUGGCAAUUCAACGUCACAGAAAGUCAAAAAUUAAAUCAAAAUUAUUACUUUCUACUACGUCACCCUACCACAUGUUGCAGAAAGUUGACUCAUCAAACUUAAUUUUACACUUUUUGCGAGGUGUGGUUCUUAAACAUCGCGAAAAGAGGCGUUUUUCGACGUGGGGUUGCGUGCGCCGACGAAAGGUAAUCAACGUCGACGUACCUUUUGUUGACGUUGUUUGUGACAUCGCGAUUGAUCUGAAUUUUUGUAGUGAAGUUGACGACGGUUGGAGAAGGGAGGAGUCCGGCGGCCGAUGACUGUGGGAGAAAGAAGGAAAAUUGUGUAAGUGAGGAGAAGGGGUAGUGGCGACAGUGUUGGAGAAAGGGGGAAAAUCGUGGGGUAGUAGUGGGGAUUUGUGGGAUGAGGGGAAAAAUUAUAAAAUUAAAAUUAUGGUUAGGGGCACUUGCAAAAAUGGUCAAAUAAGUUGUAAUAAUUAAGUCCAUAGCGCACACAUUUUAUUAUUUGUGAAAAUGGCAAAAACGAAGUCCAGCCCACACAUCAAAAGGUAAAAUGUCACAAAUGCCCUCGUUAUUAAUAUACGAUUGAUACACCUAAUACACCCAUUGAUACACUUGAUACAUUUGAUUGAUACACUUGAUGCACCUGAUACUCUUUGAUACACUCGAUAUCGAAACAUACUAAUAUAUGUUUGAUACACCUAAUAAACUGCAUAUACAUUUAAUAUUAUUCACUUAUACAAUUGAUUGAUUAAAUGCAGUUAAUAUGCUUGAAGUCCUACUUAUACACUUGAUAUACUAUUGAUAUACACUUGAUAUACAAUUGAUAUACACUUGAUAUACUAUUGAUAUACACUUGAUAUACAAUUGAUAUACACUUGAUAUACUAUUGAUAUACACUUGAUAUACACUUGAUAUACACUUGAUAUACUAUUGAUAUACAUUUGUAAACUCGAUUCAUAUAUUUGAUAAUGAUUCACUUUACUGAUAUGCUUUAACAAUAUAUUGUUGAUAUACUUGAUAAUGAUACAUUGAGUUACAUCAUUCAUAUACUUAAUAAUAUUCUAAUGAACUGCAUAAAAUUUGAAAAAAAUAAAAAUUACGUAGUAAAUAUAUUAACCAAGUAAUACAUAUAAUAUUAGUAUAUCACAACAUUGACAUACGAAACUGAAAUAGAGUAAAACCAAAAAAUUAAUGUAAAAAAAUAAAACAAAAUCAUUUGAAAUCAACUUCAACUUUACACCUCGAAGAAAGUAAAAAAAAAUCACAAAUGAAGUUAGAUUACUUCAAUCAACAACCAUUAUAUUAUUCAUAUUACAACUAUUGUACUAUUGAUAUUUUAAAAUUAAGAUUAGAAAGAAUAAAGAACUUUUCUAGUAUAAGAAUAAACAAAUAAUUAUGGUCUUAAAAAGUGGAAUCAUAAAUAAAUAAUGAGUAAGACAUUAAAAAGAAGAAGAGAAAUAAGCUAUUGAAUGGUAGUUUAGGAAUAAUAUCAAAUUUAAGAUGGAGAAGUGAAAAUUUUGCCAUAUUUACAAAAUUCUUAAACAAUGUGCUAUACUUUCUAUAUCGUAUUUUCAAAAUACUAUCCUAUGCAAUUUCUUUUUUUUUUUUUAUAUUAAUUUUGUAAAUAUAUAAAAGAUAUAUGGUUUUUUUUCCAAAAUUUUUAUACACCCUUUUUUGCAUGAUCAUAUGCAUAAAUAUAUUAUUGAUAUAUAUAUGUAAAAAAUGUAUGAAUUCUUUUGUUUUUAAAAUUUAUGCCAACGUUGUUUGCAUCGACAUAUGUAUAAAUUUUUAUUGGCAUAAAUAUGUAAAAAAAUGUGUUGUAUUGGUUUUCCUUUUUCAAAACCUAGGCCGACGUUGUUUGCAUCGCCAUAGGUACACUUUUUGCAUCAACAUAAAUAUGUAUAAAAAUGUAUCGGUUUUUCUUCUUUAAAAUUUAGGUCGACGUUGUUUACGUUGUCAUAUGUACAAAUCUUGCAUCGACAUAAAUUUGUAUAAAAAUUGUAUUAAUUUCUAAAACUUUACCGACGAAUUAAAAUUUCGUCGAAAUAAACACGAUUAUGCCCAUAAAAUGGUGCGCCAGGAUAAAAAGUGUCAAAAUUAUCAAAAAAGCAUUGUAGUAGUGGUCAAUUAAUUUCGUGUUGAUUGAAGUAUUUUUUGUAUUUUCAUUCUUGGAUUUUUUUUCUUUUUCAAAAUUAUUGUGUAAAUAUUUUGUCAGUUUAUUAUAUUUUUUUUAAAAAAAAACCGUUGAUUAAAUGAUACAUUGAUUGAUAAUUUUAAUUAAAUACCUUAUAAUAACUGAAAAGUUAAAAUAUUAUUUACAUUCCUACUUUCACGCUUUUUGUAUUUAGGUAUUUAAACUUUCAAAUGGCCAAAUACAGGUCGUGUUCUUUUAACAAAACUUAAAAAUGAUCCAUUUCUUUAAAUUAAACUUAAAAUUGGGUGAGUGCCAAAAAGGAAAAUAUCAUGAUCAUAUCAUACUAUCUUCAAAUGUUGAUUACACAAAUAACCAUAUUUUUUAGAAUACUCUACCAUCUACCAAUCUUAAAUUUACACUAUUAUCUUUUAAGAUAAACUUUAAUUAAAUUUUUUUAAAAAUAAAUAAAUAAAUUUUCAAAAAAUGAAUCGUUCAGUUUGGAUUCGAGAAUGUUGAAGAAAAUUAUUUAUUUUGUUUGAAAAGAGAAAAUUUUGAGACAAUGGUAUUUUUACUAGUAUAGGCUUUUGUCUAUGAAUGUGUUAAUGAAAAAUUAGAAGAUAACGAGAUCAAUUAUGGAAUUUACUUCGAAGUCCUAUGAAAUCCUGGAAAAUUUGACCAUUUUGGUCAAUAAAGUUAAAAACAGAAUUUGAAAUCAUUUUGAAUUUUAAAAUCAAUCUCUUUCAUGUAAGUGAUGUUUUAUUAAGGAGUCAGGGGACACGUACCCCUCACAUUAUCAGAUUUUGUAUUUUAAUAUUAAUUUUGAAGUAUUAGAUUAUAAUAUAUAUUAAAUUUAGCUUCAUAUUGCCUAUAUUUUGCUUCAGUGGUUGUGCCCCUGAGUUUAAAUCUCAUCUUCUACAAUUAUUUUUACGAAAUAGUCUUUGUUCCAAAUAUCAAUAAUUUUUUUCCUCAAAUAUCAAUAAUUUUUUUCCUCAAAUAUCAAUUUUCUUUCUAAUUUUAAUGAUUUUCUAAAAAAAAAUAAUAUCAAAUUUCUUCCCAAAUUUCAAUGAUUUCUUAAAAUGAAGAUAAUUUGAUUUCCUAAAAGUAAAAUAAUUUUUUAAAACUAGAAAAAAAACUCAUCUAAGAUAUAACCCUAACUUAUUUUCUAGCUCUGUUUGUUAUCUAACAAAACUUUUUUAAAAAGUGCAACAAAAUCGAUAAUCCAAACUUCCACUCCCUCAACAAUAUUCAAUGAAAAAGGUAUUAUUCUUUUUUUUUUUUUUUUUGUAUACAAAUAUAGUGAAUGUUAUUGGAGCAUGAGUGAAAUGUUGAGAUAUUUUUUUUAACAUUUUUAGUGUAUUUAUUAUAUAGUGUCUGAUGUCUCCCCUAUGUAAAAUUUCUGGAUCCACCACCGCUUUCAUGCUAUAACUAACAACGAAAUUCAUUUAAAAUUCAUUAUGGAUUGAAAUCCCUAAAAAUGGACAGGUUCCAAACAAAACAUAAAAGGAAAAAAAGACCACACAUACAUAGAUUUUUUAAUUAUGAGUUGUUUGUUUUUAGAAUUGAUUUUUUUAUUUAUGAUUAUUUAAUUAAUAUAAAAAAUAAAAUUAUCAUUAACUAUUUAUAAUAUUUUUAAAUUCUCAAACACAACUUAUUUUGGGUCAUUUGGAUGGGAGGAAAUUGGAAUGGGAAUGAGUAUGAGAUAAACAUGUCCUUGCUUGGUUCAGGGUUGUGUAGUUUAGGCAUGGUACAUGCUUCGUUUAUGUUCAUGUAACGUCCUAGGCCUAAGAUUGGGACCAAGAUUUGGAAUUCGAAUCUCCGACAUUCCCUUACAUCCCCUGGGACCUGACAGUAUCAUCCUUACUAUUCUUAAAGGCUUAUUAAAGUGAAAGUUCUCUUCAUGAACCAAUAAAAACACAAUAUUAAAACUUUGAAAAAAAAAAAAAAACUAUAAUUUUGAAUCACUCUUAAAUAGAUCAUAAAAAGAGGUUCGAAAAACGCAAUUAUCUAUCGAAUCCAUAAACAAGUUAGUUAUAGCUAUACUAAUUUUGAAUCAUAUCGUGUGGGGCAACCUUAUUUUUUCGUGCCAUGAAUGAAUCGGCUUAUUUCUAUAAAAGUUAAUGGUGUUGUCUAAUGUGCUCUCCAAAAAUAAUGCUAAUGAUGAGAGGAAAUUAUAUAAAUUGUUUGGUUCUUCCAUUCUAUCAUAUAAAACAGUCACAUCUCCUAUCUUUGAGCUGUGAACAACUCCAUUGGAUUACAUAUCACAUUCUUACUUUAGGGUUUGACCCCUACGAUACAAUGUAUAUAUAAUAUUAAUAAUGCAACAAGUUAGAGGGAGUUGUGAUACGAAUCAAGAAAUUAGAAUUGAAUCAAAUGAAAUUGAAGAGUUCAAGUUAUUUGGACAUCCAACAAUCAUCCUUUAGAUUCAUUCACAUUUCUAAGGAAUUAUGUAUUUAUUUAAUUUAAUGUGUUAUGUAUUUUCAUUUAUCAUAGUAGUUGAAAGAGCAUAAAAUUAAAUGGUGUGUCUUUUCAUUUAAUAUUUUAAUUAGUAUAAAUAAGGUUGUAGUUUUCACAUCUCUAAUAGCUAUUUAGCGUCGUUCCGAAGACAUGCUUAGAUUAGCACCUCUAUAUAUGUCCCUAGCGAUAAAAUACACUACUAUAUUCCCUAAUGUGAAAGUAUAUUGUUAUUUAAUUUUGUUGUUUGUAUGAAACUUGUUUAUCUAACAUGUAAAUAAUAUGAGAAAAUAAGCAAUCAAUUGAAGAGAUAAUAAAAAGUUAAGUAAAUAAAAAUAAUUAACUACCAUAGAAUCACACAAUUUUAUGUUACAAAAAAAACUUCACCCUAGCUAUUAUAUACUCUUGAGUUUGUAAUCUAACUCACACACUAAAUUGAGGUUUCCUAACUUACAAUUAAACAACUCUUCAUCUCAAACAUCAAACUUUCUAAUGAUGAAUGAUGAUUAAGCAACGUGAGUUAUCCACUCAAAAUUUCCUUAUAAGGAGCCGAACAUGAACAAGAAUUAUUAUACUAAGAAUAAUAAGGAUGAAACAUAGGCGACUUGGCUAUUAAAUCAAACAAGAGGAUGGGCCAAAUUUAUUUUUAACCUAAGCACACAUUGAUUAGAGAAAUACUAAUGCAUUAGAAAAUAGAAUACCAUUUGAUACCUUCUUUUUUCUUUUUCUUUUUUUUCUUUUUUUUGCAAAGUUCUAUUUUGUCACAUUGAAAUACUUUGAUGUCAAUGAUUUAUGCCAUUUGAUUAUUUAACAUAUGCUAUGAUUUAAGAGCAAUAACCAAUUUGAUACUUUUGCUACAUGAAAUACCAAGUUCUCAUAUAAUUUAGUUCUUUUAAGUUUUAAAACCUUAAUGGUUAUACUUUUCACAUCUAAAUUUUGUUUCAAUUUAGAAGAUUUUAGGUUUCAACAUUUGUACUUUCUAACCCUAAUUUUUCAUAAAAACUCUUUUUUUUUUUUUUUUUUUUUUUGUAUGAAUGAUUAUAAAACAAUUAAAAUACUAUAAUGAAUAAUUCAUUUUCACUACUAUUAAAUUAAAUUUAAAAGUUUACUUCCUAAUCGUUUUAAAUUAAUAAAUACUUUUGUGGUUGUCAUUUUAAUUAAAGAAAAGCUACAAAACAUUGGGAGUGCAACAAAAAAAAUAAAAAAAUCUAAAACUAAGAAACCAAAUAAAUCCAUAAUUAUCAUUUGGUUGCAUUUUUAUUUUUAUUUGAAUAACAAUAAAAAAAUUGUUAGAUUAAGAUAGAUUUUUUUAUUAAAAGAAUUAAUAAAAAAUAUAGAACUGACUGUAACCUCUACAAAGCUCAAAUUCCAAAGUUAAAAUUACAGUUCCAGAGUUAAAAUUAGAGCAUCUUGAAACUACGUCAUUAAUUGGUGUAAGUAAUUUGAACGCAAACAAAGUUUUAACUAAAUCUAACUUUUUCAUUUAUUAUUUAAUAUGCAUUUAUCUUCGAGCUUUUUUUUAUAUAUAUAAUUUUAGAUUGACUUUAAAAUAGAUGUUUUCAAAUGUACUCUAAAAUGGAAACUUACCAAAAUCAAUAGCACCAAAAGUGCAUUAUCAAUUGUUUGGUUACUGAAUCCAUUUUCACUUUGUACAAAAAAAAAAUGUGGCCUUUUGGGUAAUAUAGUGAAUACGUCUCUUCUUCUUCUUCUUUUUUUGUGGCAUUUCCAAAAAUAAAAUAAUUAUUUGAAUGAUACUUAUUGACAUCUCUUAAAGAGAAGUUGAAGUAGGAAGCUUAGUUUCUUUUAAAAAAAGUAUGUGGCAUUGUUAAAUAAAAAAGUUUUUAAAAUGAAAAUAAGUACAUAAAAACAAACCAUUUAUAUUAGAAAGUAUGCUUGAGUUAUUGAACCCAUACUUCUCAAUCUAAUUACUCUCUUAUUUUGUAUAUAUUUGGUAGAAUAUUUGAGUGUAUUAAGUGUUCAUGUGUGUUUCAAAUAUAGAUGUAUUUGUGAGCAAUUUAUUUCGCCAACCCCAAGGAAAAAGGACAUUGACGACGUUUCAAAAAAGGAAGUGAAGAGAAUAGUUGACAGGUGGGUUUGUUUUCGAUAUAUUUUUCUCAAAAGAAAAAUAUGUAAAUUUUCAUUUUCAUUUCCAUUGCCUUGGAUUUUACAACACACAACACAUACCGAGAGAUUACUCAACAAACCCACCUCAGGUUCUUCUCUCUCUUUUUCAUUCAACCUUAAUCUUUUGUUGUAGGAAAGAAGAAAAACUUUGAUGAUUUGCAGUAUUUUACAACUUAAAAGUUAAACCAAACCUGGAAAGAGUUUUUUUUGCGGGGUUUUGCAACCAAGACAAAGAAUCUUCUUGAAGAAGAAGAAACAGAACUUUGCUUUCUCUCAACACUCUCUUCUUAUUUUCAGAUAUGUAUUCUUUUAUGAUGAAACUGGAUGAGUUUGACAAUGAUAAAGUACCUAAAGAUGAAAUGCAAGAUGUUGCGCUCUCUCAUGAAGAUCAAAUUAAUCUUCAUUCCAAGGUACUUUAACAUGUUCGUUAGAUUAUGAGUUUAAUGAGAGGAGUUAAUAAAGUUGUUUGUGUUCAUUUUGUUCUAUGUAGAAACUUCAAGAUGAUUUGCAAACAAUGGGGAUGAAAAUACAGGUGCAUGAAGACAACAUAAGGUUUCUGAAGACUUUGAAAGACAAAUUAGUUGAUUCCAUCAUUGAUCUACAGGGUAUUUUGUUUUUUUCUCCUUCUUGAACAAGUAGAUCUUCAAGACAUUUUUAUGUCAUUUCCAUUACUUAGAUAAGUUUCUAUUGCAGUUAUAUUAGAUAAGCAUCAUGCUUCUAAUACACCUAAGAUUGAGAACAAGGAUGGUUCCGAUACUCAAAGUGAAGAUAAGGCAUCAUAUCAGAAAGAGAUAUUACAACAGGAAAAUACUGCUGCUAGCAUCUUGUGCCACUCAAAAACUAAUCCAAAGAUGCUGGCUUCUGAUCCUACAUUGAGUGAUGAUGUGCUUGGUGUUGUUGCUGAGCUAGGACAUGUGGAGGACAAAAACCUUAGCAGGUCUCUUUUGCUUCUCAUCUUUUAAGUAAUCAUCUAGUCUCAUGUUAAUUUUCACUGACAUGCAUUGUUUUGAAACCGACAGACAAAGAAAUUAGAAAACGUAAAGAGUAGAGAAAUUAACUUAGAGAUUUUACCUGGUACAUUAAUAGUAUGUUCGAGGCGGGACCAAUAAAAACUUCAUGCAUAAUUUUUUUUUCUUUGAAAGUGAAGGUUGAUGACAAUGCCAUUAGCCUUGGGGGUGGGAUCAUCUACUGUCCUUGAAUGUAGAGGCAAACAUUAGAUUUGAACAUACUAGGUAAUUCAUUUUAGGGUAUGUUAUCGUUUUAGUUUAUGGUUUUUGUUUGAAAGGGUAUUGGAAGUAUUCAUUACUUGUCUCGUCGUCUUGGUAAAAUCUCUCAAAUUGUCCAUCAUUACUAGAAAUUACAAUUUUGGCACGUGCUUUUGGAUGUGGUAGUGAGACAAUGAGCUCUAAUAUUCAGUACUUAGUAUACCAUGUCCAAGUAAAUUAUUAACAACCGCGUUACACGAGACUUAACCAAACUAUAGGGGCCAAAUUUAAAAACUUUGCACGAACCACCUGUUCUGCAGUUGUAUAACCUUCAUUUUGUUACUAACAUUUUGCCACUAUCAUCUAGUAAGGUCACAAGUUGAAUUUGAGCUUAAAGAUAGGUGUUUCAUAACACAAGGAUGUGGUUUGUUCUUAGCAAUAGAUUUGUAGAUAUAGACCGUUUAACAAGAGAUGGAUAUUGGGUAUUUUAGUGUUAUUUAGGAGAAUAACUCAUAUUUGAAGAUAGUUAACAAAGAAUGUGACCAUUCUAUACUUUGAUCUAUAUGUUCUUUCUUUUUUGGUUUCUGGUUUGGAUUGCAGCCUUUUAUCAGAGUACCUAGGAACAGAGACCAUGUUGGCUAUUGUCUGCAAGACUUACAAUGGAGUCAAAUCUCUGGAAAAGUAUGACACGGAAGGAUGCAUAAAUGAAACAUCCGGGCUUCAUGGAUUUGGCACUUCACUCGGGAAAACUUUAGAGGGACGAUUCAAUGUCAUCUCUCUCGAAACGUUAAGGUAUUCAUUUCUUUCUUUCUGACAUGGGGCGGUUAUUUGGACAUUCUAGCACAUAAAUAUUGUGGAACUCUUCUCUUACUGAGAACUCAACACACUCUUUUGGUUUCUUUUGCCUGUGCAGAUCAUAUUCUGGUGAAUUUGUGGCCAAUGAUCCGCAAAGAAGGCUUCAUAUUCCAAAGCCAAGAUUGCCUAAUGGAGACUGUCCAGCCGGUUUUCUUGGUUAUGCUGUUAAUAUGAUUGACAUAGACAGAACACACUUGUUUUUUCUCACAGCUAGUGGAUAUGGUCUUAGAGAGACUCUAUUUUAUUCUCUAUUUUUCUGCCUGCAAAUCUAUAAAACUAGGACAGAAAUGUUGCAAGCUGUUCCCUUUAUAACCGACGGAGCGCUUUCUUUGGAUGGCGGGAUUAUCAAGAGGAGUGGAUUGUUUUGUCUUGGCAAUAGGUACGAAGCACAUCUUGACAAUCUCAAUGAUUAGUCAGUUAUGGAUUCAAAUCUCUACCUGGGGGGACGUGGUCCUUGUCCAAGCACUUGGGUUUCUCUGUUUAUGGUAUAUUUACUUUUAUGCCUGCUAAACAUGUUAGGGGCGACACGAAGGUGACCUUUUCCAAGACCUCAAUAGAUUUAAGCCUACCUGACCAGUACAUGGAAUCUGAAAGACAAAUGAAAGAAAUGAAAUGGAAAGAGGAAAAAAUGCUUGAAGAUAUGAGGAGAGAACAGGUGCUGCUAGAUACCUUGAAGCUCAACUUCGAAAAAAAGAAGGCAGAGUUUGUGCAGUUUCUAGCAGAAGCUGCUGCUCGGGUAAGCACCAAUCCAACUAACAAACAUGACAUAAACUAUGAAAAAUGGCCUUUGCAUUUAACAUUAAUUUGCAACAUCCUAGCUUCGGUCUUUUGAUUUUGUUUGGCAUCAUUUACUUUCCUUUUUGCUUCCUUGUACCGAAAUCUUGUUCAUGUGACAUGGCCAUCAUUAAACUGUUGAAUGAGUUGGUCCAGAAUGAACUGUGUUCUAAACAAACCGUCACUAGUCUUUGUCAUGAAUGUGCUAUUGUCUCUUUUGAACUUGUAUGAGUAUUUUACAAGGUCUGUUAGUUCAAUAUGGCCAUUGUCAUGUAUUCUUCAGUUUUCUAACUUGUAUAUUGUUCAUUAAACUAAGUAAUUUCUUACACACUGGCAGCCACAAACUCCAGUCGGGGAGACUAGUCGAUAGAUGAUUCCAGACAGAGAAUCAACCAACCAUCGAAGGGAUGGCUAAUUGGCUACAUGUUUUGGAAGUUUCAGGGUUGAUGCUCGUUGUUGUCGAUCACGUUUCACACACGAUGGAAUUGUUUUGUUGUAUGAUAUGCAUCAGUGUUGGAUAGGUGAUGGCUUAUUCUGGGGGGGUUUGAAGGAAAUAGGAAUAUUUUGCAAUACCAAGUUUGUGUUGUGUAUGACGCUUCCUCUGACAGCUCUAUGAUGGUUGCCAUUUCUUUCAUCCUCUUUCUCUCUUGCUUUGCUUACCUUCCUGUUUUAUGGGCCAUUUAUCUGUUGACAAAAUGGUGGAUGUAUUCUGCAUGUUUACUUCGACCCUGGAUUCAAAGUUGGAUUCUCAGCCAAGCUCGAGAGUAUAUGCCUUAACCGUUGUUUUACAAUUGCAAUCCGGUAAUGUCUAGGCGUCGUUUCCUGAAUAAAAGUGAUGUUACAAAGUAACCAAACUUUGAAGUUUAGUUUUACAAAUUCAUAUAAAACAUAUAGGAAAAAGCAGGGUUCGAAAUUUAGUUUAUUAACACAUUUCUAACAAAUUUAGUUUCUGUUUCAACUCCUAGUUUGUCACCUAUUGGUUGUGGGCGGUAGGCAACGAAGAAGAUACGAUGAUCUACGGGCACAAUCCAUGUCAUUCAACAUGGAAUGUUACUGCCACUAUUAUUGUGGCUAAAUAUGUCUUUCAAGUCUUCUAGUUCUUUGUUCGGUUGCUUUGUUUUGGGUUGGGUUAGAAAAUAAAACAUUUAUAAAAGAAAAGCUGAUUUUUUUGGAUUAAAUUUUCAACAUUUGAAUUUAACCAAAGUUUUGUCGUUGUUUUUAUUGAGAUCAUUUUAUGAAGUGCAACUGCAACCUAUAAUUAUUGUCUAUACUGUACUGUUUGUGAUUGAGUCUUUGUUAAUAGGCAUUGUAUAUAUGUAUUGAUUAUGAAUAGACUAAAAGAGUGAGGAAAAAUUCUAUAAAAUUAAACUAAUAAAUUACACAAACUCAAAUUUAAGUCUAACUUACAAUGUUGUGAAAUCAAUAGUGUGCAUCAAAAGGGACAACUUAUAAGUUUUUUAAAACUAAAGUUUGGAUUUUGUAUGUAUUGAUUAUUAAUAGAGUAAAAGAGUGAGAAAAACUAUUACAGUAAUCCAAUAACAUUUCAAGUUAAUUUAUUAAAUUAUAAACAAUAAAUAAAUAUGGAAUGUAUGGUUGUCGUUUUAAUUACAAUAACUUUCAACACCUCUAAAACUUCUUCAUUUAUAUCUUUUAACUCCCUUUGAAAUGAAAUUCCAAGUAUUUUGAAAAGGUUUCAAAUCUUCUAUUAGAAUGUUAGUCAUCAAACUUGCAAAUUUAGCACAAUGUAUUAGUAACCAUAUAAUAGUUUAAAUAAAAUCUAAAAUUUGUUUAAGACAUAGUUUUUUAAUUUUAAGAUGGUAAGAAUGUAAAAACAAGAUUCUUACUUUGUCGAAAAAUCAAGACUACAAUCAUAUAUCUUGGUACUGCAAAUUAAAAAUUUUAAAGAAUUUUUCAAUUUAAUUAAAAAAGCAAAAUACAUAAUAAGAAAUAAUCUCUAUACACUUAACUCAAAACACUAAAUCAAAUCACUUAUUGCUGUAUAAUAAUUAUAUAUAUAGAAAAAGAGCUUAGAAUUCUUGAGUUUGGAUUUCACAAUUGACAUCAUUUCAAUUUUAUGUACCCUUACAUGUGUUCUUCAAGUCUUUCUUUAAAUUCUAAAGUAUUAACCUAUUACAAUUACGAUACAAAAAUAUAUAUCAAUAUAAAUGAAGUAAUAGACUAAACAAAACAUAGUGAGUAAAAAGACCUAAGAAAACAAACCUAAUUAAGUAGAAGAGAGUUCAAAUGUUUAGAAAAAGAGACCGAAGAGAGUUCUUUAUUUCAUGGUAGAAGAUAAAAGUUACAAAACCUUUUGAAAUCUUAUAGUUAAUAUAUAUUUAUCAAAUUUUGAAAAUUAAAUUAUAGAAAUGAAGAGAUAACUUUUCAUAUUCUAACAUUUUGAUCUCUUAUAUAAUAAAUUAAGAGUGAAUGUGAGAAUUUGAAAAGAUUAUAAAUGGUUAAUGAUAAUUAUAAAUUAAAUAAUCAUAAAUAAAAAAAUCAAUUAAAUUUGGUUGGUAUUGUAAAUUUAGAAUUUGGCAAGGGAUAGAAUUGUCCAAAAAUGAUUCUCUCCUUAAGCCACUUUUAAGGAUACGUUAUAAGUUCUUUAAAUUAUUUAAAAAAAUUAAUUUGUAGUACAUAAUGUUGAAUUCUCGAGAAAACCACAAUCUUAUUUUACUUUCUUGCCAGCUUAAAAUAAUUAUGUCUUAGCUAGAUAACUAGUUGUUACUAUUAUUUUUCAAAUUAUAAUUGCAAAAUUUUCAAUAUGUCCCCUUCACUAUUUUUCUAAUAGUUCGAGUGACAUGUCAAAUAUAAAAUAAAAUUUCAUCUCAUAUUCUACAAAUAACAAAUAAUAAAAGUCGUAGUUAUAUGACAUAGAUUGACGUGUGACAACUAGCAUGAGCAGUUGACGGUACUUUUGUGGUUGGGCAUAUGUGAGUUUAGGAAGACACGAUUUAGGUGUUUCAAAACCGAGUGCAACUCCCAAUUUCUUCAUUCUUUAAUAUGUUGAAACCUUAAAGAAAAGAAAAGAAACAAUUUAUAGUCAUCUUGACGUUGAUAGGAUUGAAAAUGUGUUAUUUUAUCUCACUUAAUUUAGGAUCAUUCCAUGAUUUUAUGUUUUUAUUUGUCUGGGAGGCCUCCAACAAUUUAAGGAUAGAAUAAAUUUGAUGUGAUGUUGAUAUGAUGCAAAAUUGAAGUUCAUAGCAUUAUUUGAGGAAAGAACAAGCCAAUUUUGGCCUUUUUCUUGUAUCAUCGUGGUGAACUAUGGUGUCGUGCGGGGCGUUGUAAGGCAAUAGCCUUGUAGUUCACCUGCUCACUCCAAACUUAUUCCACACAUUAAUCUUCGUCAACUUCACCCUGUUGUCACGUUUUAUUUAAAUAUUUCUUUUGUCGUCUAGGUAAGUUUAUGUUCGAUUUCAACCACUCCAUCUAUAACGUUUCAAAAUUUAGAUAAAUUUAAUUUAAUUAUGUUUGAGUUUAUUGAGUGUUAUUUUGAGUUAUUUGAAAGAGAAUCGUUUUGUUAUAUUGAAAUUAGAAUUUAUUGAAUAUUCGUUUGAAUGAGUAUUUAAUUAAUUAGUGGAUUUUGGUGUUGGUAGAACUAUGGUUAAUUGUAUAUAUAUAUAAUUAUUAUAGAAAAUGAUAAAGAUAAUUUUAUUUGUGGACAAUUAAUUAUUAUGAAAGAUAACUAAUUAUUUUAAGAAAAGAUAAAUAUUGAUCAAGUAGAGAGGUUGAUAUGAUUGGGUAAAUGAGGAAAGAGAAUGAAUAAGAUUUAUUUAAAAAGAAAAUUGAUAAUUAGGUAUUGGAUAUCAUUACUAAGAAAAAUGUAACAUUCCAAAUUUUUAUGGAUCUUUUAUUGAUUAUUUUAAAUUAUUUGGGAGUUAUCUUUAAGGUUUGAAGUUAAAAUUGAAAUAUUGAAUUAAGAUCAUUCACGAUCAAAUUUAUGAAAUUUUAAAAUAAUUAAUUUAUGGGAGAAGAUUUGGUUAAUGAAAAGAUUUUGGUGAAAUGUGAUAUUGAUUAUUUGGUUUUGUAUAAAUAACUAAUAUGAAAAAGUAAAAAGAUAAUUAUAUGAUAGGAUAUAAUUGUAAAUUGUUAGAAAAUAACAUAAUUAAUGAUAGGAGAUGAUUGAUUUGAUUGGAUGGAAAAAAUAAUGGAUUUAAUUAGGCUAUGAAAUAAGGAUUUAAAUAAAUAUAUAUGUUUAUCCCUAAAAUUGUGUAUAUUUAAGGAAUUGUAAAUCAAAUGGAAAUAAUAAUGAUAAAUAUUAUUUUUAUUACGUGAGUUUAUAAAUAGGACUUAAAUGCAUAAGUAUACGUGUUUAUGCUUGUUUAUGGGAUCACUCACAUGACUAGGAGUGUUCCUACGGGACCACUUGCAUGAUUAGGGGCGUACAUAUGAAUCACAUGCACGGUUAGGGAACAAUUAUACUAUAUAUACGGGGUCAUUUGCACAACUAGUGGUGUUUCGAUGGAAUCACUCGCACGAUUAGGGGUGUACCUAUGUAUCACAUAUAUGUUUAUGGAGUGUGCACUUGCGAUCACUUGUAGGACGAGAGAUGUUUCCUUCGGGGUCACUUGCAUGAUUUAGGAGUUGUUCGUACGGUCUUACUGGCCUAGGUGUGCUCCAUUGGACACACGACGUAAUGAUUAUGUUUCGAACGAAAAGUUAACAAAUCACCUAGCGAGACCAAUAGUAAGUCCCUUACUGGGUAUAUUUUAUAUACUCACUUUUUUCUAUAUUUAAUUUUUCAGACAAAGUUAGAAGAUCUGAAAAGUUGGCGAGCGAUAGGAAGAGUCUGUGGCAUGCCAUAUGUGGACUCAGUUUUCCUUUCGCGUCUAUGUAUUAGUUUUCAGUAUUUUAUUUUUUGACAUUUUAAAUUAAUUUUUUAUCCUAUUUAUUUUAUUUUAUUUUUUAAAAGAAUUGUUAAAACGUCAUGCUUUUAAAUUAUUUUUUUAUUGAUUAUAUGUCUUUCGAACAUUUAUUUGAUAUUAAUUUUAUAAAAAUUUAGUUUUCCUUUUUUCAAGAAAUGUAUUUUGAUAUUUAUCUUUUGAGUAACGACUUUAGCUUAGCUUAAAAGUUUAAGUCGUUACACUAACCUACAAUUCUCUUAUUCUACUCUCAUUUAGGUUAUGUUUAUGUGCUUCAACAUUUUCUCAUUGCUCAGCACGUGAAGAGUGGGCUAAUGGCCUAAGGUACUCUUUUCUAGCUUAAGUCUUAGGAGUUUUUCAUUAUUUCAUGCUUUUGUGAGAUUUCGUACUUACAAUUUUGUAUUGCUUGGUUUAAUUUUGUAUUCAAAAUUAUAUUUAAUCACAUUGUUGGACGCUUGGGGAUUGUAGAUUAAGUAAGCUUGCAAAUGAUGAUGUUUAGUAUUGAUCUAAUCAACUUAGGAUUGAACCCAACAAAUAGAUAACUAAGUGAUAUAUGAAAACUCUAUGAUCUAAUAAUUAGAAAUCCAAUUGGAUGAAUCUCCGAUGUCAAAUUCUAAACCCCCAAAUCAAUUUGACAACAACUCAGGAAAUGAGUUAGAUUUGAAUUAUUCUUUAUUUUUGACCAAGAGAUAAGGAGAUCUAAUUCCUCACUUCAAGUUCGAACCACAAGCAAGAUGAUCAAACUUAUCGAAAUGUUCUUGAUAUGUAGUUCCGAAAAUCAAGAAUUAAAAAAAAUGGUGAUGAGACUAUGUUAUCUAUCGGGGAUUAUUAAUAGAAAAGCUCUAAACUUCAAAUUUCAAAACUUACUUUACACAACCUAAAAGCAAGACUUAAAUAGCCUCUCACUAAAAUUCUAAUGUAUUAUGAAAAGACUAAAAUAACUCUACUUAAAUGUUACUAAAAAUAUUAAAACUGAAAAAUAUCAUCCUCUUCUUCUUUUGAAGGAUUAUAUAUAUAUAUAUUUAUGAGGUUUUAUCAAAUUAUAGGUUAAACUCUAAUUUUCUCCAAACAAUAUUGACUUACAAUUGCAAUUUAAUUAAAUUUAUAAACAUAAAUUAUACUUAUAAUUAAAUUAAUGAUAGUUCAUUAUCAACUAAAUCUUAGUGAAUAAGUAAGACGAGUUUUAUGAUUUAUAAAUAUGUAGAGUAAAACACAUUUAAACAUUUUUGUAAAACUAGAAUCCAAAAUUUGAAUUUGCCACCAAACAUAUUUGAAAAUAUAAAAUACAACUAUAUAUGUUUUCGAAUUUCUGUAUUCAAAUUCUCUACCAAACAUGUCGUAAUUAACACUAGGAAUUGAAUGACUUCUCAUCCUUUUGCAUUAAAUUGAUUUGUUAAUGAGAAAAAAUUAAUUAGUUUUGAAUAAUUUGAUUUGUUAAACUGAUUUCUCUAAUUAAUUUGGUCAGAGGAAGUGUUCGAUAGUUAUUAGCAAUGACAAAUCCAUGCGAUCAAAUGUUUUGAAUAGGAGAACUCGAAAACAACCUAAGCUAGAGUCUUUUAAUUAUUGAAUUUGUUCAAAUUUUCUUUACUUGCAAAUUUACAUUUUUUUGCAAUUGAAGUCGAUCUUAACACUCUAUAUUAGUAAUUACCUCAUGUUGAAGCUAUUUACUAAACAAAACUCAUACUUCCUUCAUUCGACUCAAACUUACAAUUAAAAUAUCCAUUCGAUCAGAUGUUUAUUUCUUAUAAAGUAAAUUAGGGUUCAAUUUAAUAAGAAUUUGAAACUUUUUUUAACUAAACGACGCUACGAUCUUGUUUUGUAACUAUAUAUUUUUCUUUUUGUUUUUGUUUUUGAAAAUUAAGCUACUUUUAUCUUAACUUUUUUCAUUUGUUAUCGACAUUUAAAAUAGGCUUAGUUGUAGAAGCAAAAACAAAAAAAAUGAAAGGGUUCAUAAGACCUAAAUGAAAUACACAGUUCAGUAUUAAAAGAUUGGAUUAUAAUUUAAAACAGUUGCAAACUAAUUGUAGUUAGUAACUAAAUAUUACUUGAUAAUAAAUUAUUAUUAAUUUAUUUAUGAACAUAUUUUAAGUUAAAAGUUGUAUAACUAUUAUCUUGUAAUAUUAUGUAAUUUAUAGAAGAAAAAACUGAAUUAAAAGAACUCCAUGCCACCUUUUCUCUACCCACAAAAAACAAUAUUUUAUUGUUUUUUUUAGAAAAAUACAAGUGCUACGCAUGACAUUUAUUUUCAAAGUCAAGUUUAAGUCUUACCUAACAAAUCUCCCAGAAUUCUAUGUGGUUUGAUAAAAGUUUUCAUAGAAAAUAGUAUCUAUUGAAGGAUUUAACAAACCAUAGGGGCAAUAUUUGAAAUUAACUUUUAAAUUUUAACUUUAUCCAAAUAUCUAACUUUGAGUUUAACUUAAUUUAAUAUGUAAUAUAUUAUAUAAUGGGACGUUUGCAAAAAUAGCAAAAAAAAAAAAAACUUUAUGAUAAUUAAGUCUAUGUCACUCCAUUUUCUAUAUUGUAAAAGUAGCAAAUUUAAAAGAUGAUAAUCCUAUGAUAUUUCUAUCAUAGUUGUCUGAUAUCAUUAGUUUUCUCAUAUUUCCAAUAUUCAAAAUAUAAAUAUCAUAAACUACUUUUUUCUAAAUGUUUUUUUUAUGUCAUAUGACUAAUUUUUCUUGCAUAAAAUUUUAAAAUAUUUAAAUUGAAUUUAUAACGUGAUAUACUAUAUUUAAUAGUAUAUUUUUAUUUAAUAUAAUUCUACCUUUUAAAUUUUAAAAUUCAAAUAUUGCAAAUGUAUUACAAGUACUUUAUGGGGGCAUACGGGACUUUCGCUUUCAUGUUCAAACUCUUCCCUUCAAUUUCUCAUUCCUUACACUUUUUAUUGUCAUUCCUACCAUGGUUCUUAAUUGAUACGAAAAGGAAUUGAAUUAGGGGCCCAGAAAAUGUAGUUAAUCAAUUAGUUAAAUAUUUCAUUCAAAAUUAUCAUAAAACUCAAUUUAUGGUACACGAGGUUAUCCAAUUCGCAAAGUGUUACCAUUGAAACGAGAGAAAAAAAUAUAAAUAACUUGAACACAUACGUACCUAAGUCUUUCAAAGUUUUAACUCCUGAACGUAGAGAUUUACAAUUUUCAAGCUCUAAACCUCCCUCAAAUGUGCCUCCACACGUUUGAUUCUCAUACUUUUAAUUCCAAACCUGGGAGCAUAAUCAAAGCCACCACUAAAGAUAGAGAGAGGUGUUUAUACUUUAAUCUUUCUUAUAUAUAUAAUUAUCUUAAACGACAUAUGUAUUUGUGUUAUUUUUAAAUCAUAUUUUACAUUUAUGAAGCAUUAUCUAAUAAAUUGAAUAUUACUUAAAGGUUUAAUUACCAAAAUAAUGUUAUUUUAAAACUAUUUACUAAAAUAUUACAAUUUCAAAAUUAUUUACGAAAACAUUUCUAUUUUUUUCUCUCUAUUGGGUGAAGACUCGCCCAAUUGCUUCUUUUCCUCUUCUUAAGACUUGUUCAAUGUUUUUUAUUUUUAGUUUUUUAUAUAGAUUUUAUUGCUUUUUUUUUUUAAAAUUGUUCGUAUACAUUUUUCUUCUUCUUUCUUUUUAUUUAUUUUUCAUAUAAAUUUUAUACUUUUUCUUAAUUUUUUUAUAUAAUUUUUUCUUAAAAUCUAAAUUCUACUCCUUUAAAAAAUUUGAAUUAAACACGCAUAAUGUUAAUACUUUUUUAAAAUUUCACUAAAAUCUAUUGGGAUGCUCUAAAAAGAAUUAAAAUUUUUAAAAAAUUACCAAAUUUCAAGAGUGAUUGUAUAAUAAAAAAACACACAUGAAUAAUGUAAAUAAAUAUUUUUCGUUAUAAUUCAAAAUUUCAAGAGUAUAAUAUUAGUAUAACUUAACCAAAUAAAUACAACAAAUAAUAAUGUUAAUAAUUUUUUUAGAAUUUUUAAAAAUCUUUUAGUAUAUUCUAAACAAAAGUAAGACUUUCUGUAAAAUAAAUAAACAAAUAUAAUAGAUAAGGUUUCACACGUACGGGUGGAUUCAAAAUAAAUAAAUUCUGAGUAUUUAAUUUAACAAUAUAAAUUAUAUAAAAGUAUAAAAUUAUAAGUAAUUAUGUUUAUUCGACCGAAAAUAAUCAAGUGUAGUAAAUUUGUUCGUUAAAAGUGUAUAACAUUAUUUAUUUAUUUGUUAAAUUUGGUUGGACACAUGACUUUAUAGAAAUAUUGCUAAUUUGUUCUUAACAUUUCUCUUUCUAAUAAAUAUAGUUCCCUUUCCUUUUAUUUUUUUAAGAGGAAAGAAUGUGAUUUGUAUUUUUUCAAAUGAUCAAUUUAAUAAAUCAAAUAAAAUAAAAUUACAAUAUUAAAAUUAAUAAAGCAUAAAUUUGGAGAUUCAACUUUCCAUUUAUAUUUCUAAAACAAAAAGAAAGUAUGAAUCAAUCACAUAUAGAAUAACUUAUAUAUAUAUUAAUUACUAAUAGUUUUGUUAUAGGUUUUUUUGGAAUCUUAUUCACCUAAAACUAUUAUGAUUAUUUUAAAUAAAUGAGUAGAAGUUAACUUCAAAUAACUAGACAUAUUUAAUAUAGCAUUUCACAAAAGUUAAAAACAUCAGCCUAAAAAAUUAAAAACAAAAUAUGACUAUAUUUGGUUUAUUGAUUGUAUAGAGAUUAAAAUUUAAUAUUUUAAAAGUACAUAUACUAUACUAACACUCAUUGAUAUCCAAUAUUCAAAACUAUAAUUGCAACGACAUUAGUGAGAUAUAAUAGAUAACUUUUAGUGAUAACAGUAGUUAGAAAGAUAAAAGCUUAAAAUUUCUAAUUUUGACCAUUUGCAAGGUUAAAAAAUUACACAUCCAAUUUUAUUAUUUUUUAAGUUUCACGGUAUCAAAUUUUCAAAUGCAUAAAGAAUCAUAUUUUGUUUCGUUUUAAAUGAAAAAGGGUUGGAGACUGGAUAGGUAGUGCGAAUAAGAAUACAUGUAAUGAUCAAACAUUUUAAACAACGAAAAAAUAAGUUUUAGAAUAAAAUACUAAUACAAUUGAUUCGGUUGAUAAAAAAACUUACAAAUUGAAGGACAAUUCUACUAUUAUCUUUCAAUUUGUUUUUUCGAUUGCCAAUCCAUGAGAACGGAACUACACAAAAAGUAAAUAACAUGACAAUGUAAUAUUGUUUGUUAUAUAUACAUGACAUAAAAAGAGAAAAAUAGACUUGUUCAUCAUUUUUUCGAACCGCCACAAAAUAUACAAAUAUAAAAUAAAAACGUGGUAAUGCGAAGAUAUAACUGAGAUUAAGAAGAUUUUUAUAUACAAAGUGGGGAUUUUCCAUAUCUUCAAGUUUAAAAUCAUACUUUUUGUUUAGAAUACCAAAUUAAUUUAACAAAAUUUUAAUUAGUAGAAUUUAGUUCUUUUAAAAAAUUAAUUUAAAAUUUAUAUGAAAAAAUUUAAGAAAAAUAUAAAAAUUUAUACGAAAAAGAAGAAGAAUGUAUACCAACAAUUAAACAAAAGAGAAGCAAUAAAAUUUAUAUAUAAAAAAAACUAAAUAGCAAAAUAGCAAUAUUUUCGUAAAUAGUUUUGAAACUUCAAUAUUUUGAUAAAUAGUUUUAGAAAAAACACUACUUUGAUAAUUGAUCCAUGAUUAAUAUAUUAUUGCUAAUUAUUAUAAGUUUAAAAUAAAACAAAAGAUAAUUGAAAGUUGUUUUAGUAGUAAAUAAAUCACGAGUUUAAAAAAAAGCUAUAGUCACAAAAAAAAAGUUACAUUUUUAACAAAUUCAUACCAAUUUUCAGAAUCUUUUGAACUUUCAUGUAACAAGUUUAUAGACGGAGUUAACCAUUUGUCUAAUAUAUUCAAAUCAAUUGCUUCUUGAUUGAAUUGAGUGAACGGGCUUCCUAUGACUCCAACAAACAAAGUAAAUAGGGAUAACACAAACAUCGGAAAUAGCAUAGUAUUCUCUAUAAUUCAUGACAACAAUUUAUCUAGAAUUUAAUAUCGUAGUGCUUAGCAUCUUUAUAUUUCCAUAAGUGAGUUAUAUUUUUAUUUUUGGAUUGUGAGUUAACAAAAAAAAUUGUAGUAAAUUUUUUUUUUCAAUUUUACAACUCCCCAACCUAUAUGGAUCAAAACUCACAUAUAUCUAAACAACCAUGCUUAGCAUCUUAUCCAUUCAAUACCUCAAAUUCUCUUAUACUAUAUUUUUAGGGUGAAAUUCUCUUACUAAGAGCUCUAAGUUCUUUUUCUUUCUUUCUUCUUUUAUAAACAAAACCUUCUAAGUUUAAAUCUCACCCACCUAGCUACAUAACUGAAUUAUAUUAUAAAAACCAGGUUUUUUUAAUAGAAGAAUGAAGGAAAAUGUGAUCAUAAGAAAUAAAGGGAUUUAGUCGGCAAAAAACAUAAAUAUUUUGUCUGUUUAUAGGUGGAGUUGACUUAGUUUCAAGUCAUGUUUGAACUUUGAGGCCCAACUUAUCUUAUCAUAAAUUCAAAUUAAAUUUGAACUCUAUUUUUUUAAAGAAAAAAAACUAGAUUACAUUUUUAUUUGUUCUCAACACUAAUUCAAUUUUAGUAAUUAUUUUAUAAGUUUACAUUUUUGUCUUGCAUACAAAAUAAUUAAGAAAAGUUGAGUUUCAAAGUUGAGUUUCUUAUUCUCAAUCGACUUAAUCCAAUUUAUUAAUCCAAACAUUGGUUAAGAAUUAGUAAAUAUUAUAGCUCAUUUAUUAUUAAUUAUAUUAAGAAAAACACAUCACUUUUAAUUAAACAUUUAAUAUUAGUCAAAAUGAAUCUUAAAUUAAGAUAAAUGAUUAAAUUAAACUUUUUUCUUCGCCAAACUAAAUUAAAUUAUAUAAGUUAUUCAACUUGAAUAUAACUCAACAAUUUUAUUAUACGUUGAACAUGUUUGAUGAAACGGAAUUAAUGUUUAAACCCUCAUUCUUCACCUUGAUUGUAAUAAAGAAAAGUAUACACUCAUGUUUAAAAUUCAAUCAUCAAAAUAAAUAGUGUAAACUGAAAUUAAUGAUAUAUAUUGUCAUUUUAAUAUAAAUAUAUGUUCUUUUUCUAAAAACAAGUUCUUUAUUUAGAUAUUUUCUCUAGACUAACAAAAUUUCAUAUUUAGAUUUUCACUUGUUUAAAAACAAAUAUUAGAAGUUUCAUGAAAAAAAGUAAAUUAGUUUAAAUAACAACCAGAUCUUGAAAAUAUUUUAAAUAUAGUUCCAUCUAUAGCAAAUCUAUAUAUAUAUAUAUAUAUAUAUAAACUUUACAAAUAAGUGUAAUAAUUAUAACCUUAAUUUUCAAAAUCCAUAAAUGAAGAGUUGAACAGUUAUCCAAUUAGAAACUAAACCUAAUAAAUUGAAUCAAAAUAAAAGUUUUAAUAAUAUUCAUUUGCCAAAAAUGAUUUAAAUGAAUGUUGUUAAAGUUACAUACAUUAAACAAAAGAAGAAAAAUGUUACCUACCUGUUCUGUCACCACCAAGAUAUUGAUAUGUUUGUAACACAUACAUGUGUGUAUUUCAUUCUAAAAAAUUAGAAAUGAAUGAAUGACAUAUAAGAAUAUGGAAUCAAAUAUAAAAAUAACAAUUUACAACUAAAAGAUCAGAUCGGUACAAACAAAAGUAAGAAGAUCAAUACAAUAAUAUUUAAAACUAUAAUUUAGAUAAGAAUUAGAGAAUUGGAAUCAAACCUAAAUUAAAAUUUAUUCAUUAAUUAACUUUAAGAUAAACAUAGAAACCAACAAAGCUUCGAGGCAUUCUAUCCUUAAAAACCGAAGCUUUGAGGUUAAGUACAAUCCACACACCAAAUUCAUCACUAAAAUCACUCUUUUUUUUUCUCUCUUAAUUUUAUCAUCUUGCAAUGUAAUAGAAAAAACAUCUAUCUCACCCCAAUUUUAAAGCUUAAGAGAACAGUGAACACACAACCAAUUUGAACAUAGUUCAACUGGAUUAUCAAAGCAUUAUAGUCGGAGAUUCAAAUCUCGUACUCAGAAAAAACACACCAGAAAAUAAUUUUAAGAAAGAUGAAGAAUUUAUUACAAAAGUCUAUAGCUCUUGCAAAAAAUGAGCAAGAACACACAGCAGAAACCCCAUAUCUCUCCCCCAGCAGAGAUCCCAUAUCUCUCGCCCACCAAUUAAAAGGAGCUUCCAUGAAAAAUAAGAGGAGGUGGCGGUCGUGCGGGAGUAGGCGGAGGAACAUCGACGGUUCUAGCACCGGUGACGAGGUCUCGGAUGAGUCUGCAGAGUAUUUCUUCAGCCAUGAAAGCCGCCAAAGCUGCGGAAUUAACAAGGCUCUCAAAAAUUUGAGCUUUGAUACGACCGCGUUUUGGUGGAAGGGUAGAGAUCUUCCCCUUUGAAGAUGUGGAAGAAGCUGCUGCCAUGGCUGAAGAAGAAGUAAAAAGAGAAGAGCUCGAGAGAAGAAGAAGAAGAAGAGAAGGAGGGAAGAAUAGAAGGACUCCAAAGAUGUGGGGACUUAUAGGGCCAAGGAGAAAAUUUGGGGGUUCUUUUUGGAAAAUAUUGAAUAGUGACACCAACAAAUUAUUUAGGUUUAAUCUAAUUUUUUAUUACGCUUUUUCCUUUUUCUUUUUGCAAAAGUUUGAAAAUUUUCAAAUCUAUCUUUUCAGAUACCUCAAGUAAAUAUUUUUAGAAGUAAAUAAACAUUCAUUUUUAGUUAUUAAAAAAUAGCUCGAGAUUGAUAAAUUUUAUAUUAGAUCUAAGUAAGAAACCAUAUGACUUCAAAUUAUUCUCCUCGUAAAUUUAUUAUUAUCUUUAAUUUACAUGAAAAAUACUAUAUACAUUUAUAUACAUUUAUAUAUAUUUAUGUAUACUAUCUAAUUGUUUUUUUUUUCUUUUUUGAAAAAGGGAAAUUCAAUAACACCUGGCAAAUGAAGCAAAAUGUUACCAUUAUAUAUGAAAAUGAGAAUCACACACACCAAACCCUCUUUUAACUUUUUUUGAAAAAGGAGUGUGAAACAAAAAAAAUCAAAAUAUACAUUUUUAAAAUAUAAAUAUAAAUUUCUUUUUUUACAAUAAUUAGAGUUGGCAUGCAUAAAUAUGAUAAAUCUUGAAAUACAAUCAAGCAUUGGUUUGAUAGAAUUUUAUAUAAGAUAUUCAAAUGCAUGACAUCUUUGAGAAUCUUAGUUGCAGAAAAGGUUUUGUUGAUGAGCAAAUGGAUGUAUUUUUCUGUCUACUUUUCCAAAUAUAUGUGGUAAUUAAAUAGCAAUAUAUUAUUAUAUAAUUUUUAUUUGAAAAGAUUUGAGAUUGAGAGCAAAAAAAAAUUACAAACUAUUUUAUUGGUCACAUCCCACUUUAAAAUUAAUUUAAAACUAAAAAAACUUUCAUUUCAUUCAUCUGAGAUUAGUUUUAAAUUCAGUAUUAGAAAACCAAAUAAAAAAAUAAUCCCACUUAAGAAAGUAAAAACAUACGAAAAAUAUUAUAUUUACCUCUUUGUUAAUUAAGCUAGUUAUAUUUUGAAGAGUUUAUUUCAAAUACACAAAAAUGAAUUAAAAUAUAUAUAAAUAUAACAAAAUACUAUCGUUUAUUCUUAAUAAACUGUGAUAGAUUAUUAUAAAUGUCUAUAUCAUAAUUUGAAUUAUACAUAACCUAUCAUAAUCUAUUUUAUAGAGAUUCAUCAAUCAUAUUCAUAAUUUUGAGGCAGCCAUAAGAAAGAAUAAAAUAAGGGAAAUUGAGUUUACUUUGAUUAUCCAAGUCCACAAGUUUUUCAUUAGAAUAAGGGUUUUGGGUUUUGGUAAUUUGUGAUAUAUAUAUUUUGUAAUGGUGGAAUUUUUAAUUAAAAAAGUAUAGGUUUAACCUCUAUUUUAAUACAAAAGUAAAAGUUAUGAAAUAGAAAAAACGAAAGUAAACAAUAAUUUUUUUCUUUCGGUUUAAGAAAAGGGAAAGAAAAAAUGAAAAAGUACGAAGCUUUAUGGAAGAUUCUUACUUAUCCAGAUUGGUACGACAUUUAUAUGCGUUUUAAUACAAAAUUAUUAAGAUAUUUCUUUUUCCAACUUGGCAUUCUAGAACCAAACAUGAGUCCUUUUCAAAUUGAAAAAAAAAAUAGACAUUAUGUUUUUAAUUGAGUUUGAAAAUAAAAAUGUAUUUUUUAAAAUUCAUUUUUAUUUAACUAGUUUUAGUAUUUUUAUUGACAAUUUUGUUUGGUUUCCUGUAUUAAUUUUUUUUUAUAUAAAUGUAAAAGUACAUCAAAUAAUUUUCCAAUUCAAAUUUAGAGUUUGUGUUAGUAGUGGUUGGAGUUGCCUGUCGAAGGUAGUAGUCGGAAUGCGAAGGGUGGUGGUCAUUGGAGGUGACUGCCAAAGUUGGUUUUCGAUGAUAUUGGUUGGAGUUGGUCAUCAAAAUGUAGUGACCACUAGAGUUGGUGUAGGUGGUCAUCGGAGGCUCUACUAGUGUUGGUUGAUGGCAAUGAUUGUCGAACGUGGUUGGUGGAAACCAUGGAGGGAGUGGACUAAGGACUAGUGAGGAUAUUUUUGAUAAUUUUAUACCGAUUAGGGUGAGAUUAUAUAUUCAAAAAUCAUUUAUUUUAUUUUAUUUAAAAGUGAUUUCAAGUAUUUCUUUCAAACACUCAAACUCCUUUCAAAAGCUAAUUUGAGUUAUUAAUUCUCAUACACUAGCUUUAAAUUAACUUUUUUUCAUAGUUUAGACGAACUAAAAAUUUCAUUAUGAAAUGGCAAACUCACUAUCCCUCCUCGUGUCUUUAUGAACUUUAUUAUCCUCAAAGUGCUAUCAGCAACAUUUUUUAUAUAUAGUGCGAUCAUCGAUCCCCUUCAAAGCUUCAAAAUGUAAUGCUUGUUGAAGUUCUUGAAUCUUAACUUAUUCCAAAAUUGAAAGUAUCUAAUUUUUUAUUCAAAUUUUUGAGAUUAAUUUAAUCAAUUACAAUGACAAAACUGUCAAAAAUAUAUUUUUAACUAUAACAAAAUGUCGAUGUUUACAAAUGGUAGAUCAUGAUAACUAGACUACUACUAUUAGUUUACUAAGAUCUAUCACUUAUAGACGAUGACAUCUUACUAUAUUUAUAAAUUCAAAAUUCUAUUAAUUUGAUAACAGCCUAUCCAAGUUGUACCACCUCUCUUUGGCAAUGAAAUAUUUUGUUUAAGUAAAAUAACAAAUUACAAUAUAAAAAUGAGGGAAGUAUAAAAGUGAACAAGAUGAAGACGAAAAGUCUGCUUGUUUUAAUAAAUGGAAUUAAAGAAAGAAACCAUUUUCAAGAUGCAUGAAAUAAUGAUUUAUUGUAUGUGAGUCAAUGAGUAUAAUUUUCUUCCUUUGUUUUUCGUUUGGUUAGAAUGAUUCUUUUUCUUAACAAUUGAGAACUAUUUAUUGGGAUCUAUUAAAGACAGUUGUGUGUCAUUUGUAGGAGAGAAAGAGAAUUUGAAUGGAUGCAUGGAAGAUAUGAGAUAGGAAAGUAAAAUUGAGAGAGAGACAUGAUCUAAUCAUUUAAUCAAUUGGUAAAGCCUAAUUAAUUUUUCAAUUCAUUUAUCAUAAGUAACUAAUUAAAUAUCGAUCCAAUAGACAAGUCAUAUGCAACACAAUUCAUUAGAACAUUCUAACUAUGACUAAAGACAUAUGCAACACAACGUGUUUUCUUUCCAUUUAAUAAUCAUCAAAAGGAUUCACAUAUCUUUCUUUUUAGGACUAAAGACAAAUCAAAAAGAAAAAUUAAGUUUUAAGAGUAUAUAUGUCGUAUGUGUAUGAGGUAAAAUAAACUACUAAAGAAAACGAGUAUAUAACCCUUGAUCUUCCAAUUCUCUAUAUGCAACACAAUUCACUAUGACAAACAUGAAAAAUGAGACAACAUCAAGUUUUUCGCCUCUAACUUUAGCUUUCUAAUUAAACAAGGAAACUUCAAUUAUUACUAUUAUGUAGGUAAAUAUUUGUAUGUUGUAACAUACAAUAUGUUUUCAAUAAUUAUUAUAUAAAAUUAUGUUGUGAAAUAAAUUUUCUUACAUACAUCUCUAAGUUUAUAAAAUAUAAUUACUAGGCAUAUGCAAUGAUGUCACUAUGUAGUCAUAGUAGCGUUGAUCAUAAUUAUAAAUUUUAAUUUCUUCCAUGUUGUUCUUCUUAAUCCCUUCCAUUAAUCCGUUCGAUCUCAUGGAGAAUUAAAAGUCUCCAAGAAGAGAUUGAUGUGAAAGCAACAACCAAAAUUUGGAUGAAUUAUAGAACAUUUCAUUAGUUUUGCUUUUAUUUACAAAUAGUUUCAAAACAAAUUCUCCUUUUUAUCUAUAUUUAAAAAUGUCCCAUUUUUUUUUUUCAUACAUCCACAUUUUUCUUUAAUAUCUAACAUAUCCCUCUCAUUUCUCUAACUUUUUCCUUCAAUUACAUAUACACAAACAAAUAUUAAUUAUAAAGUAUGUAUGAAUUUCUAUUUACUUUAAACAUAAAAUAAAAGUGGUUAUUAUCAAACAUGAAUAGUGUUUCUUUUGACAAAAUAAAAAAAAAUUAAAAGUGAGAGAAACUAAUUAUAAUUAUAAUUAUUAAAGGAAGGUUUAUCAAAUUAAAAAUAUGUAUACGUAUUGGCUACGAAAUCCCAAUUAAUGUUAUAAUGUUAUUGUUGCCAGAUAUUAUAUACAAACCUUUUCAAACACAAUUUGAUAAUAUUACUCCCAAAAUUCCAAGAUUUAUUCUUUUAUUAUUGUACCAUUUCCAUUCUUACAAAUAAAAUUUAAUAAAUAAAUAAACUCCACAAUUAAUGUCUUUGACUUUUUAUUAUUUGAUGAGAAAUUGCAUCAUACUACAAAAACAUUUAGAAAAAAAUAGUUAAUGACACACAUUUUUUACAUAUUGAAUAUGACAAAUAUGACAAGUAAUUAGUGGUAUCAGAAAACUUUCAUACGACUAUUAAAGAGUUAUUAGAAGACUAUCAGAAUAUUAUCAUAGGAUUAUUAGAAUGUUAUCGUCUUUUUAAUUUGUUGCUUUUACGAUUUAUUAAAUAGAGUGACAUGAGUUCUAUUAUCAUUUUUUUUUUUUUGCUAUUUCUGGACGGUUGUUAUAUAGUUCAAAUUAAAACAUAGUUAUAGCUAUAUCUUAGGCUUUAGCUUCGGUUACAUUACUAAACAAUCAUAAUUUGACAUCAAAUCAUCAUCCAGUCAAUACUAAAUUAAAAAAAAUAGUCGUCCCUCCUAAAAAUUCCACCUAAAAGUUUUCUUUUAUUCUAUUAAAUGUGGUUUGGAAAAAAUAAAUAUCUUCUCUCUUCUUUUAUAGGCCUUCUUUGGAAAGAAAGAAUUUUUUUAGUUUGAAAAAAAAUAGAAAAUUUCAAAUAUAAUAAAAUUGGUAAAAAUAUUUACAAAUAAUAUUACUGCAACUUUCAAUUACAUCAAUAUUUUCAAAAUAAAUUAGAAAGUUUAAGAAUUUUUCUUCUUUUUGGUAAAUUUACCUUAGAACCAAAACAACUUUACUAAGGCACAUGGUCCUUCACUAUGACUUUUCCUAAUUGAUGUUAUUUGGAGAUAUAUAUUCAUAGAUAAAUAUGCUUGAUUAGUUAAAUUAAUCAUAAUGUAUUCCUAAUUCAAUUAACUAAAUGAUCUAUUUUGAAAUCACAAUCAAUGAGGCUGUUGUCAAAAUGUUUUUAAAUUUAAUAUUUAUUGUAUGAGAUAUAAGAUAAGAAUGAUUGAAGUAAUCAUAUAUAUUAUGUUAAAACCUUAAAGAACAAUUUAUAUGUAUUUGUGAAAAACAAUCUUGUGUCCUAGUCAUCAAAGAAACAACAGGUUAUCGCUCGCUUGAGUAUUGAGUUUGAAUACCGUGCAUUGGCUCAUACCUCUGCUGACAUUAUUUGGGUUCAACAACUGUUGAGUGAGUUGGGUAUUUCUCAGUCUCGUACACCGAUCAUAUGGUGUGACAAUAUUAAUGUCAGUGCUCUUGCAUCAAAUCCUAUCCAUCACGCACGGACCAAACACAUUGAGAUUUACAUACAAUUUGUUCGGGAUAAGGUACUUAAUGGCCAACUUGAAAUUCAGUAUGUUCCCUCUACUGAUCAAAUUGCUGAUUGUCUAACAAAAUCACUAUCUCACACUUAAUUUAGUCAUCUUUGUACCAAACUCGGCAUCCUUUCACUCCCCUCUCGUCUGCGAGAGGAUGUUAAGGAAGAAACAGAUACAAAAAUAGCCAGCUCAGCCAAUCCCAUGUGUACCAAUUCAUCAAAAUAAAUAACCACGUUGGAAGAAUUUCAUAACCCUUUAUUUGUUAUCUUUAUGUUAUUUUUUGGCUGAUUAUGAACCUAUAGAAUUUUUCCAUGUGUAUCCUUAUUUACGUCUUCUUUUUAUUUGUUUGCCCUAAUUGAAAGAGUUGUUGUACUAUAAAUAUAGACCAAAGGUCUAUCAUAUCAAUAAGGAAUACAAUACAGAAAUUUUCCAUAAUACUUUUUGUUCUUCAUUGUUGUGCUAUAAAUUUCAAACAAAAUUGAAGCAAUAAGUGAUCGAGCAUUUUCUUAUGGAAUUCAAUCCCUUCAAUUGUGUCAUCCAUCUUUCACUCAAAAAGUGUAACCUUGCAGCAUUUAUUCAUUUUAUAACUCAAGUAUCAAAACUAGCUUGUAUGGCAAACACCACACGUGUGCAUUUCUUCCUAUUUUGUAGGUUACACUCUUUUUCUAUCAAACAAAUUUAAUUAACGUUAUCACAUUAAAUACCAUUUUAGUUUUUGAGACAUGAGAGUCGGAUUUCUCCUUCCUAAAGUUACAAAAUCUUGUAAUUUAACUAAUAUAUAAUAAUUGCAGUUUUGAAGUUGUGAAUAUCUUAUAUGUUGAUCGUUUAUAGUCGAAAAGGAUAAUCCCAAGAGGUUUUUCAAACCCGAAGAGAUAUUUUUCUUUUUUAUCUAUUCGGAUCUCUUCCGUUUCAUCGAUUUUGUCCGGAUCCUCCUUUUCUUCCGAAAAAAGGGAAGGAGAAGUAUCUUCUUCGGUGGAUCCCUCUUGUUCCUAUUAGUUCAUCCUAUUAGCUUGUGGCACAUCCCAAAUAAGUAUCUUACAAAUUGGAUAAUCUAACUAAAUCUCUAAUUGUAUAUAUUUUUUUAUUUCAAAUCGGAUAAUCUAACCAAAUCUCUAAUUGUAUAUUUUUUUUAUUUCAAAUCAAUAAUAAUAAGAUGAAUGAGACUUCAAUUACUAUGUUAUAUUUGCAAAACCAUUCAUUUCUCUCCAAACUCUAUUCUUAUUAACUCUUUCUUUUGUUAAAAUUAUUUUGAUCGUGACUAUUUGUGGUUAAUUUUUUUAGUGUAAAGUUCGGCUGUAGUCCUCGUGAUUCAUGUGCAUCCUUUUGCUUUAAAAGUUCUUUAACACAUUAAGUAUUUUUCUCCAUCUUGUCAAUCUAGAUAAAUAGUAGCACAGGAAGAAUCUCUGGAAAAAGUAAAUGUGUGGAAAGAUUUAAUAAAAGAAACUAAGAGUGUAGCAUUAAUACACACGGUUUCAUUUAAUUAGGAAAAAAGAAAGUGUGGAAAUAUUUAAAAGCAAUCGAGAGUGUAAUUAAGCAUACAAGUAUGACACUAGUUUUUAUUAAAAAUAUAAUAAAGAUAUUUAGAAGCUAUAGAUGAGAAAACAGUGGUAAAUGCAUUGAAUUAGCACACAUAAUUCCAACUAGUCGGGUAUUCUAGUUUGCAUUGGGAUGAGCAUAUAGCAGGCUUUCUUGUGUAAAGACGACUUAAAGAAUAUUUUUUUUAUCAAUGUUGUAGUUGUGAAAGGAUAUUCUCACGAUAUUUUAGCAAACAACUUUUUAUGAUCUUAUCACCCCCACUUUUGAUUCAUUUUGCUUAUUAUUGUUUAUAAAGGUGUAGACAUUAAAACACUCAAAUUCCAACUAUAUGUCAAUCACUUUUUACGUAACCUUCAAGGAAAUUUUGUGAAACGGCUAGAAUCUAACAUUCAUGAAAUUUCAAGUAUCCCAAUGAAUUUGACUUUGGAAUACUUCAAGUAUUACUUGUUGAUGUGUUAAUUUAUACAACACAAAUAGAUUAUAUAACUUGAAUUAAUUGGACAUCAGAAUGCAUGAGUUUUUAUUUUUUUUACAGUAAAAAACAGAUGUUAUGUAGCAAAAAUGAUACAACAUCAGGUCAAAACAAGGACAAAACCAAACGAAAUAAAAAGAUAAAACAAGAACAUCAACUAUAGAGAUUAAUUAUAGAAAAAAAAGAUAGCACACAAAGGAGACAAGAAGAAGAAGCAAUGAUGGUGAAGAAAAUUACAAAAAUUCCAAAGAGGGGAAAAGACAAAGAGAAGAGACAUUCAAAGCAAAACCAAUCAACCAAUUAAGUGAAGUGAAUGAUGAAAAAAAAAAGGACAUCCAACUGUUCUAUCUACUUGUUUAUUUUAACUUUAUAUAAAAGAUGAAUGGAUAUGUUAAAAAGAAAAAUAAAAACUAAAAUUCUAGAGUCAAGAAACAAAUUAAGGAUAGAUUUGAUUUCGAUAGAUCUUAUACAUAACUGAAUUUAAGAAAGUUAUUAGUAGAUUUUGGUAUAAGAACUAAUCUUUUUAAGCUAACUCACUUGAGCUUCAAAAAAAUAGUGGUCUAUCUCUAAGUCUAUUUCUAACGUUUGGUUGGAGUCAAUAAAAGUCAUGGGAAAAAGGUAUUCACUGAAAAAGCUGUAAAGACACAUCUACAUUGCUGUAAGCCAUGGUAAAUUCAGAGGCCUCUUUAAGGCAUAAUAAAUCCAAAGGAUUCUCUAAAUCAUAAUAAAUUUUUAAGGGGUCAUUUGGUUCGAAGCUUUUCUGCAUUGGAAUGAGUACAAACAUUUAAAACUCACGUUUGUUUCACAAUUUUCAAACUUUCGUUGAGAUUAAUUGAUUUUAGGUAUACUUAUUUUUUUCAAACAAUGGUUUUUUAUUCUCUUCCAAAAUUAGGUUUUCUCUUUUCCCUCCAUCUAUUUUAUAUAUAUAUAUAUAUAUAUAAUUUCAUUUGAAAUACAAUUAACUAAUUAAUACUGACUUCAAAAUUUAAUAUAAAGUAUUUACCUAAAUUAGAAAUAAAAAAUUGACAAAUGAAUACAAUUAAUUUUUUAGAAAAAUUAUUAAUUAAUUAACUAACAAUGUAUUAAAUAUAUUUAAUUGAUAAAUUAAGAUUAAAUAAAUUUAGUUAGUAGAAAAUUUUAUUUUUCAAUAAUAAUAAUUGAUGUAUUUUUUAAUAACAAGCAAUUGCUUUUUAAGAUCAGUUUUAAUUUAUAUUACUCCAUUCAUUAAAAACAUGUAAUAUUUAUAAAACCUAUUUUAGUACUUUUUAUUGAUAUAUCAUAACUCCUAUCUAAAUUUUUUUCAUCUUUUAUAUUAUAUUGUAUUAAAAUAUAUUUUCUUAUAGUGUUUAAUUAAAAUUGAUAUUACUAACGAUAAACUUAGUUAAUUAUAAACAUGGUUAAAUAUUAGAUUAUAAUUAAUACUACGUUCUUUAAAUAUAGGUUAUUUUAAUUAUCAGUUCUUUUAAAAAAAAUUAAUUAUCAAUUACUCAAUUUUCAAUACUUAAAAUUAUUAUUGAUUCCCAAUUAAUUAGUUUUAUAUUAACUUUGUAUAAGACUUUUAUUUUUCUUAAUUUCAUAAAUUAAAUUUAAACAUAUUUUUUUGUAAAACAAAAUUCUGAUAGCAUUUCUUUGCACAACCAAACUCACCAAACUCUGUCAUCUUUCAUUCUCAUAUAUCUCAUCUUUUAUUCUCAAACAUCUACAAACUUAAACAAAAACCAUCCUUAAAGAUCUUCAUAAUAAAUAUUUUUCAAAGUUUUCUUCAAUCAGAUGAGAGUGAAUGAACAAAACACUACAGAUUAAUUAUAUAUAUGAAAUGAUGUUCAUUAUGAAUUUAGUGGGAAGGAUAUGGUGGAAUAAGAAUUAUGUUACUUCCAAAAGCUUGUUGUAUACCUUUGGGAGAACAAAAAUUUCAAAGUUUGCUAAUAAUAUAAUUGAUUUUUUUUUUCAUAUAUUCAAAUGUAAUAGAAAGUUAUUUUGAUAAAACACUUAAUAUUGAUAAAAUUUCUCUAUCACUUUUGAUUACCAUCAAUAAUUAACAAUAAUGUUACAAGGGUGGCUAGUACCCUCAACUACAACAAAUAUUGUUGAACAAAGCAGAUCUAGGCAUCACAGCUAGCUCAACUAAUUUGGACAUAUAGAUCAUUAACGAAAGAGGUCGAUGUUUUUUAAUUAGGCUCACAACUCGAACUAUGUUGAACUCAAAUAUAUAACCAAAUUUAAGUUGGUGUUUGUCUCUCGAGAACAUCUCUAGCAUGCGGUGGAACAUGUUGUUGAGGAUCCCAACAAUGAAAAUACAAAGUGAUCAACCUCACAACCUUUUUUUUUUUCUUUUUUAGCCAAUUUGUUUUGUGAUAGAUGGAAUUUUUAUGCUUUUCUAAUAUGAUAUUAGAGCCCAUGAACCUCGUAUGAAUAUUUGGUCUAAAGUUGAGAUCUGUCCAAAAAAUGAUGAAUCCAAAAAUAGUCACUAUCUUGAACGAAAUGAAUAACGAUGCCUUUUUAUGGGAUAUACAUGUUUUGGGGUGAUUAAUAUGGAUAUAGCCUCCAUUUGGAGGUCCAAAUGAAAAAUAAACCAAUUUUUAAGAGUGAAUGAAAAGUGGGUUUUUUGCUAGUAAAUUUACUAAUUCGUUCGUGAAAACCAUUUGCAUGGUUGCAAUUGAAGAAACACUAAUCGAUGCAUGCACAAUGAAUAGUACUCAAUACUCGAUGCUUGAUACUCAAUGCUCUAUGUUUUAUAUUUUAUGAUCUAUGUUAUAUACUAGAUGUUAGAAAAUACUCAAUCAUCUUUCAUAUCGUUCCUUGAUACAAAAUACUUGCUACUAAAUACUUGAUGUUCUAUGGUUUUUUUAUGUUAUAUGUGUUACACUUGAUACUCAAUACUUAAAGACACGACAAAAAGGCUAGAAAUACAAAAAAAAAAAAAAAAAAAAAAAAAAGCAUAAAAAUGGAAAAAGAAAUGCAAAGAAAAAACACUGAAAAAAUUGACGAUGAAGAACGAGAAGAAUAAAAAAGGACAAAGACGACACAAAGAAAAAAAAAAAGAAAGAAAAAAAGUUGCAAAAUGAAGAAAAAAACAUUUAAAGUUAGUGGUAAUUUUAGUGAUGAUAUAAAGAAAAUGCCACUUUUGGUUGAUUUAAAAAAAUACUGAUUUUUUUAUUUGGACCUUUUAUUUUAUGUUACCUAUCCAAAUUUCUCCCUUUAUCUGUAGUUGAUCAACUCUACUAUGAUACAACCAUUCUCAUUCCAUUCUAAAAUAAUUAGAACUAAAUUAGUCUAAGAAAAAAAAUUCGAUAAAAAUAUUUCGUCUCAAACAAUUGAGAUUAAAUUGUUACAAAAUUUAACUAAAAGUUGGACAACAAAUUUUUUAUUAAUAAUCUAACAAAAACUCAACAAACUUAAGGAUGAUAGAUCCAUCUUCAAUGCACCGAGACAAAGAGCAUGGAAGCUAAAUGACAAUACAAAAGCUUAACUUUUCAUAAAAAAAAGAAACUACACUCAUAACAGAAGGAAAGACAAACUUUAACAAUUUUCCUGAAUUCAUAUAUAAUACAGUAGCUGAGAGUAUUAUUUUGGUGAAGGAACAUAGAUCAUCUAUUGCCGGGCGGUGGAGGGGGUCGACUAGGUUGCUCGACCACUGUCGUCGUCACCAUCAUUGGUUCUCUGGUUAAUGAUCUUAUGAUUCUAGUGAUUAAAAAGGAUACUGAGAAGGCUAAUUACCCAUAAAUUUGAUUCAGUAUUUGACCCCUUUUAGUUGAAUAAUUUCUUGGUGGCUCUUCAACUGCCAUUUUCUUUCAACAAGAAUUAAUAAAGGAAAAAAGAAAAAACAGAUAAUAAUAACGUGUGAAGCAAAAAAGGAGGUUGUUAAUUUUGAACUGUGGAUGGGAAGUUUCUCAUUUUGAUUUUUGGUGGAAUGAAAUGUCUGAAGUGAUAUAGGGUUAUGGAACAAAAUCAACUAAUAAAAUAUAUAAAAAACGUAAACUAAAAGAGAAUCAUAUUGACACACUGUUUCAUGUGAUUCACUAAAAAUGUAUUAUCUACGUCUACACGACAGAAAAUAAAUAAUGUAGCUAAUUGAUUGGUGCAAAUAUAUUAGUUAAGAAGUUUAACGGUUUAUUUGACAUGCUAGUACGAAAUUGUAACAAAAGGACCUUUAUAUGAUUUUAUAAACGAAGCUUUUACUCUAGAUAAGGUUGGUCAACACUAUAUACCGAUGUGUGCUCGAUGAUCUUCUUUUGCAGGUCACUCUCAAAUACACUAAUUUAUAUUGUUUUUUGCCACGUAAAAAUUAUGGUUCUCCAAAAUUUGACAUUCAACAAAACCAUUCUCUAUCUUUUGUAAAUGGUGUUCCCACUGGCUUUUGUACUGAAUUGCAUGGUGUAGAGACUUCACCUUUUAACUCUUUGGACAAAAAUAGUUAAUAUAUAAUAAUGUUUCAUUUUGUGGUUCUAAUUAACUCUGUCGCAUGCCAUCUCCUCUUUGCUUUGUCUCUUACAACUUGUGAUGGCAGUCGUCCUUGUAGUAAAGCAGGAAUCUAUGUGUAAGAAAGCCUUACAUUAAACAACACAUCUACUCAACAAUCUUAAUUUUGUUCUCUUCUAGUUUCAAAAAUUUAAAUCAACAUUGGUUUUUAUGUUGGAAUGUCCAUAAAAUGUGUCCCUAACUAGGUGUCUCUAUCACAUUUCAUUUACAUUUCCUAUUUAAUUUGAAUUGUAUAUUAAAAAUGAUGGGUUUACAACUUUGAUUUUGUUAAAAAAGAAAAAGUAAAUUAAACUAGAAACAAAAAGCAGUGGAAAGCACCUUCAAUAGAAGUAGCAAAUUACUUCUUGAAAGAACCUUUGAAAUAUGCAACAUGGAGAAUGGACGACGAGGACUGUGAAGUGUCCUCUCUCCACCUAUAUUGGAAACCAUAAUCACACAUAUCCUCCCAAAAAGCAUAUAUAAUUCAAAAGUGUGCUCAACAAUAGGUGCACACAAAUACUUUAUUUUCCAAAACAAUAUAUGAUAGAGAAGUUGUAAGAAAAACAAUAACCAUUAGAAUUUAUAUAUCUUUUGAAAACUUUUGGAUACGAGAGUGAUCGAUAGGGCGCACAUACAAAUACCUCAACUAAUUAAAUUGAUACAUCAAAUGCUAAAAAGAACAUAUAAUAAAGUCAUCACAAGAUGAUAAUGAGAUACAUGCAUACAAAACAAGUAAAAAGAGUGUCAGAAGAGAUAAGGGCUAUAAUAGUGAUAAAGUGAUAUUUUAUUUCUACACGCCAACUAGAUUUUUCCUAGAUUUUCAAUAGGGAGUUGUGACAUUUGUUCAUAUGAUUUUAUCAAAAACCAAAAAUAGUAUAGAAUUAUUAUCAAGGGGCUUAAUCAAGAUAUUCUUUUUGUUUUUGAAAUUUUUUUAAGAAUUUAAAUGCUUACUUUAGAAAAUAUGAAGAAAAAAACACAAUUUAAUAACAACAUAAUAAACAAUUAAUUUCUAUAAAAUAAUUUUAUAUAUCUUAUACUUUAUGCUUUAGCAUACAUACGUGUGUCCCAAAAAUGGAGUAUUAUGUUUCUUAACCUUUCCAAAUCAAGAAAAUAAUCAUUCAAUAUACUGUAAAACAAUCAUAUCCAAAUCAAAUUAGUCGAAACAAAUAAAUAGAUAAUUUUAGAACAAUACUCUAAGAAAUUUUCAAAAAUUCUAUUUAUCAUCCAUUCACGAAUCAUUUCCAUAGAAAACUUUUCAAAAUAGCAACUAAAAUGACAGCACAUAUUAGUCAUUACAUACUAUAUAUUAUCAGCCGACCUUGAGUUAAAGGUGAGCGCAUAAAAUUCAGCAAUAACUCACAUGCACUCUACCUCUUUAUUUGCUUAUCAUUCAUAUAUAAGGAAAAGUUACACUCUGUUAUAAUAGAAAGGUAGAUUAGCCCAACGCGGCGGUGGAGGGGGUUGAUUAGGUUGCUUGGCCGCCUCGGCCACGCCGGUACCUUGAUCUUCUCUGAUCUCAACCCUAAAAUGGACAAAAUUGGUUUUGUUAUGUUCUUCACAAUGCUUCCUAUGAUUUUGCCCCUAUGAAGAAAUAGUGAGUAAGUUUAUAGUGAAAAAAAAGGUGAAAGUGGUACUCUUGUGUGGGUGCACAUGUACAUGCAUAUACAUACAUAUAUUAUGAAAAAAAUACCUUUUUAAUUAUUACGUUUUGAAAAAUGGAAUAUAUAUAUUUGAUCCUUUAAUUAAAAAACAAAUGUACUCACAUUUAUUAAAAAAAAGUUUAGUACGUACAUUUUCAGUAAUUGAGUUUUUAAAAAUAGAUUUAAAAGAUUGUUUAAGAAUAUAAUUUUUAAAAAAUUCUCUUUAAAAUGUUCAUAUAAUUAUCAAAAGUUAUUAUUUAAAAGAUUUUUAAACUAACUACCCAAAACUAAAAUGUUAUUUUAAAAAAAGAAAUCUAAAAGUAAUUUAGUAUAUUCUUGUAAACAUAUAUCCUAAGUUUACAAACCAAAUAUAAUUAUAUUCUUCAAAAUUUUAAGACCAGAGGGGUAACUCUUUUCUUAACUUAGCAUCACGUUUCUCUCUACAUUUGUCACUUUCUUUGUAACCCGACAUGACCCUAUGGGUCACUGACUCAUUCUCCCACCAUUUUCUUUUAACUUUUACAUUUUCUGGAUGGAAAAGAUAAGAUGCUAUUUCAAACAAACUUGUACUUCCUUCUUUAAGAUAUGUAUUUGAGAUCAUAAUUUAUAAAUUCAAUUCUAAAUUAAAAUGCUGUAAACUAGUUGUAUACUCACUCGUUAAAAUUUAGUUGAUAAUAAAUUAUUUUAUUAAUUUUUUAUGAACAUGUUUUAUGUUUAAAAAUGGUAGAAUUAUUCUUAUGUAGUAUUAUAUAAUUUAUGGAAAACGUUAAAAUUUUGGUCCAUUCUGGUUUGGAAAACCUAAAAAUUUAGGUCUUAUUGGUUUAUAAUAAGAAUUUAAAAGGAUUCUAAGUUUAACCCUUUUUUUUUCUAAAAAAUUGAAUUGAGUUUAUAAUAAAAAUCAAAAUUUUACACUAUACCACAGAAUCUAAAAUGCAAAAGUAGAUUUCAAAAAUAUAAUUAGAAUUUUCUGUCAACAUAACAUACCCUAAAAUUUCAACAAAUUUUAGAAGACCUAGUUUAGUAUUUGGAGAAAAAAAUUUGCAUGAGGAUGAUAAUGUUAAUGUUUAAUUUAAAAUCUUAAAAGUUACAUUGUGUGUUUCCUAGAUAAAAUAAUAAAAACGAAAAGAUUUGACUAGGUGCUAAAAUGUUGAAUAAAUUAAGCUUUUUAGGAAAUUAAGUUUUUUAAACCUUAAUUAAUGAAUAGUGUUUGAAACUAUUUGAGAGAGUUUUUUAAAAAAUAUAGACAAAAUUUGUACAUUUUUCGCAGCAAUUUCGAACCCGAAAAAAACUUAUACUUUAUAUAAUUAUCAUUUUAUAAUCAUAACACAUAAAAUAUAAUUAUCAUUUUAUAAUCGUAACACAUAAAAUACAAUUGAUACAUAAUAAUCUAUGUGAUCAUCAUUAUGGCUUUUCCACCAAUGAUCACUUUAUAAAUAGUUGCACAUAGUUUUAAAAUUUAAGAAUAAUAGAUUUAAACCAACCCCAAUCAAUUUUGUGUGGAUUUUUCGAUAUAAAAAACAAUAGUAAAUUAAUAAAUAAAAACGAGCAUACCAUUAGACUUAACACAUGAAAAAUAAACUAAAGAAAACUUAAUCAAACUUGAGUUUUUGAAGAUUUCUUAAAUACAUUUCGAUUUAUUUAUUUAUUUAUUUUUUAAUCUUUUCCCAUCUUACAGAGUUCUUCAUAUAUUAAAGAAAAAUCAAACAAAAUUAUUUUUAGUGGAAACAUGAAUUUAAUUAUACCUUACACAUCAAUAAAAAAAAAUCAUAAGUUUUCGAUCAAAACUUUGAUUACACAUGUAAUUUGUAUUUUCAUGGUUACACAAUAAAACUAUAACAUUGUAUAAAACAAUAAAUGUCAAAAAUAUUUGAACUAGAUGAUUUUCAUAAAUUAAACUUAGUUAAAGAAACACAUAUCUUGAUUCAUGAAGGGUCCUUCACUUGACUUUCUUUAGAAUUGGUAAUUAGUUUUCUUGAUGGGUAAGAAUGAACUACUUUAAUGAGAGGAUCAAUCCCUAAAGUUUUAUUUAUAGACACCACGUAUUAUAGUGUUUAACAAGGACAUUAUUUUUGUAUUUAAUGGGUCUAAUAAAAUGUCACAUUAAUAAUACUAUUAUAUUUAAAAUAAAUUUAACAUUCUCGACUUAUCCAAAAAAUUCACUUGAAAGGUGGAGAUUCCCCCACCACCGUUUUUUCUAUAUAAAAAAAAAAAAAUCAGAUUUCUCAAAUUUUAAUGGGACGGGGGCGAGGAGUCCCAAAACGAGGACCCUAAAAAAGUCCCUGGUUUGACCCCAUUCCGGGUCAAACUUGGGAUUUUACGACUCUACCGAGAAUUUUGCCAACCCUAAUCUUUGUAAUUUUAAAAUAAUAAUCAUUUAGUUCCUAAACCUAAUAGAUGUAGCAAUUUAGUUCAGGUAAUAUAUAAUUGUAAAGCUGUAAUCUACAUGGUUGAAAACACUAUUAUGAUUUAUUGAAAUUUCUUAUCCAUGAACAUUUGAUAUAAAACGAUGGAAGAACCAAAAUUUAUAUAUAUAAAUUUUAUCAUAGAAACUAUAAAAUUAGUACAAAUCUUAGAGGAUAUGGACUCAAAUUAAAUUAUAGCUUUCUAAAGUUCUAAAAAUUAAACGAUUAGAAAAUUAGUAAAAGCUAAAAGGUAUUUUUAGCAUAAAUAAGUAAAUAAAUAAAAAGUUGAUCACUCUAUUUCUUGAAUUGUCACUUUCUUCCUCUCUCAUAUGGGAAGUGUCUUUGGAUUACUUACAUAGAACAGCUUAUCCUUUAGUAUUUUCUUUCUUAAAAAGGGUAAAAAAAAUAAAAAGAUUAUCAUAAAAAGCAUAAAGAAAAAAUAUAUGCUUUUACAAGAAAUACAUGCAUCAUUAGAUGGUUUGAAUAUAUAUAUAUAGAGAGAGAGAGAAUAAGACAAAGUUGGAAAAUUACAAAAGAAAAAAAAAGUACCAACUUUAUUUAAAUGCCCAAAAAUUGAGGAUAUGAGAUAACCAAUCCUCAAUUUCACCUAAAAGAAAAUUUGAGGUACUAACCCUAAGUACAAAAGAUUGGGAAUUAGAUUCCAUUUCUAAGUUAUUGAAACCCCUAACUAUCAAUAUCAGCAACCAAUUUUAAACCAUAUAGAGAAGAGCAAGAGGUUUAGAAAAGAACACACUAUCUCUAGCUAUCUCAAUUAUCUUUGGAAAAAACAAAGUCAACAUCUAUUUAUUUCUAGUUUUCAUUUUUAAAAAGGUGUGAUAAAAAAUGCAUAUUUAUUGAUUUAACAUCUCAAGUAAAAAUUAAAAACACUAAUGUGUAAAAAAACGAUCACAUAUGGCCAAUCUAAAUUUGGUGAAAGAUAAAGAUGAGAAAGAAAAGGCAAAGGACAAAGUUUUGGAUUAAUUGUCUUCAAAAUCCUAAUCCCUCCAAAAUUAGAAUUAAAGAAAAAAGUUAAUAUUACACACACAUCUAUUAUGUAAAAAAAUAUAUGUCACCUAUACGCACUUUUAUAAAGUGUCGAAUACAAAUUUCUCUAUUCUAAUUUAUAUUUAAAAAAGUAGUGUAAAAAAUAUUUGUGUAACAUCACUACUUUUCCAUACUUAUUUCAUCACAUAUAAAUCUAAAAGUGUAUUCAAAUAUCAAAAGCAAAAAAAAUUACACUCAUCCCAUUCAAACACAAGUAUGUAUGAUAGUGACACACACAACUCUAAAAAAGCAUUUAAACAACAAAAUUUGUCAAACAAAUAUAUGUGUGUAGUGUGUGUAAUUUAAAAAACUUGUUUUCAUUGGUUCACUAUUAUUAUUGUUGUUGUUACCAUUGAAAGGGGUUCCAUAAUUUGAAUCACACUAAGCUUUUGCCAAAUUGUCCAUGAGCUUUAAGAACAUCCAUAUAAUAGAGGUAGAAAUUAAACAAAAAUAAAUUAAAAUAAAGCACACUUUUUAAUUUACAUAUAUAUACAAUAAUAAUUACAUCAUACUAGGAAAUUUUGAUCAUUGAACCAACAAGAAAUUGAGUUCAAAAUUACAGGAAAAAAAAGAAAGAAAGAAAGGAAAAUGAUAACAAUUAAUUUACAGUAGGUAAUAAGGGGAUAAAUUGUUGGCCAACGAAACAAAAUAAAGUAGCUGUUUAAUUUAUUUCACAAAGCAGUGAGGAUUGAGGAAGGGCUAUGCACCGGCACCGGCACCGGCACCGCCGCCACCACCGGCAGGGGGCGGAGGGGGCGGUGGAGCAUGAACCGGCGGAGGAGGAUCCGGGAUGAGUCCAGCAAGUGCGGCGACCACGUAGGACGCUGCAGUGGCUGCUGAUGUGGCCAAAUCCUCACCAAUUUUGGCCAUAAUUCUGCCUCUCCUUGGUGGGUUAUUUGCAGUUGAAGAGGGCAUAUUUCUUCAAACACAAUCCCACAAUAAUAAGUGUGUAAAUCAAGAGAGAGAGAGAGAGUGAAUUUGUAAGUUCUAAGUUCUCUUUUAUAAUAUCAAAUGUGAUAUUUAGAAAUGUUUUUUUUUCUUUUUUUAUAAAGAAGUUAUGUGUCUUUAUCAAAUCUAUUUUAAAAUCUAAAGCAAUAUUAUAUAGAGAGAAAAAUAUCGAAUUUUCCUCUAGAAGUCGGUGUGUGUCAGUGAACUUUUGAAUCUGCAUUUAAUUAUUU
rnacentral:lncRNA from 1 species